rnacentral:lncRNA from 1 species
GAGUCUCUCAAAGUAGGAAAUCUUCAAUCCAUUAUUUCUUGCAAUAGGAGAGCGAAUCCAACCUGAAUUCCUCUUUGGUGUACCAGUCAUUAUGACGGCUGUUCUGUCAUUUGCAAAGUUCGCCAGAGGCACCAUAGCCUCAGGUUCUGUGGCCGAUGAGGCGUCUACCAGAAAAAUAUGACUAAAGUGUCCAGUCUUCAGUCCUUCAGCAUACAGUCGAAAGCUACUGAUGAAAGUGGAAAGGAUUACCUGGAAUUUUUCGAGUUCAUCAAGACGAGGACACGAAAAGCACUCGACCUCUUCCUCAUAUGAGCAGGACCGAAGGAUAUCGAAGGGUACUCCAUCCAACUCUCGAAAUGCUGCAUUGGCUCGAAACAUAUCAGACUUCGGAAUCCGCUGCUGGAGGCCUCUCAUUAGCACAUCACAUGUUUGGUUUAAUGGUGCACAUACAAGAAUUCGAUUUGAUGGGGAACUUCGACAGAUUUGGGCAACUGCUUCUGCAAUUAAUAGUCCAGGUUUCGACAAUGCCUUUGUUUCAGUUACAGAUAUUGGUCCCUCAAUGAGGUAAGGAGGUGAGCCCUUGAGGCUUAAGAUGUGUUGAAGAGAAGAAAUUUGCUGCUUAUCGAGUUUGGGGUCAAUAAACAGUUCCAUGGAGGUAACAUUAUUUUCUGGAAUGGACUCGGGGAAGAGGAAGUUUCUACCUAAGGAUUCUGAGGCAACUGCGAUUGCAUGGUGUGCCCGCUUUAAACAAACUCUAUUGAAUGAAAAUUUGACAUCGUAUUUGUGGUCUGAUUGAUAAUGAGCGUGAAAAUCAUCUCCAAAUUCAGCCAAGAGCAAAUUUUUCCCCACCAGACGAUAGAAACUACCCUGUUUAAGAAUACGAUGACAGUGAGAUUAAUAAGACAGGAAUGAAUUACAUUUACUAAAAUUCAAUACUAGACAAUGCAAUGUAUAAGGAAAAUCUUGUGAAUAUAAGAUUCGAAUAUAUACUUCCAUUGCAAACAGAUACAUGAAAAGAGCUAAAUGACAUUCAAUUACUCCGGAAUAGCCAUCUGAUUAUGUGAAGAGAUUACUGAAUUCAAUUGGGAUGGAAAGGAGAAAAUAAAAACCAUAUAGCUAAUGAAAAGUAUACAGUCAACAUGUUCGACAAGGAAUUUUACAAAUUUCUUAUUUAAUAGCUAAAACCCUAGACAGUGUGGAACCUCAACAUGGCUCCUAAAAUUCUAGAAUUUACUCAGUAAUGUACAGAAUAUAUUCUGAUCCACAGAGGAAAACAUGAGGAAGAAGGGAUGUUAUUCAACUUGUUCAAAAAGGAAUCAUAGACAGUUCUUAUAUACUAGCCAAAACCCUAGACAAUGUGGAACCACAAUAUGGCUUAGUAUAAUUCAGGAAUUUACUCAGUAAUGGACGGAAUAUAGUCUGAUCAUCAUUUUUGAGGAAAAAUGAGGAACAAAAAUGCACUUAAGGCCUUGACUAAAUUGCAAUAAACCAAUAUGUUGAACAUCAAUCAUCUAAUGUUCAUGUGUUCAAAUUAUUAUUAUUAUUUUUUAUUUAUUUAUUUUUUUUUAUUUUUUAUUUUUUUAAAUUUCCUGGAAAGAGAGAGGAUCAAGGAUCAAGGGAUAGAUCUUGGCUGAAACAGCUAUAAUAAAUUGAAUAAAUAAAUAAAAUCAACUUUUAUAAUUUGGUUGGUUCAUGUUACAGGAUAUAACAAUAAAUCUGUAGGGUCGUGUAUAGGCUUAAUUGUAGGGAUUGGCAUAAUUAUAGGGAUUCCUAAUUAGCAUACCUUCCUAAUAUAGACUUCUUAAUACACACACUCACACACACACACACACUCUCUCUCUCUCUCUCUCUCACACACACACAUAUAUACAAACACACACACACGUGUGAGUGUAUCUUUUCCCAUGAUUAAUAUUAAGAAAAUAUUUUCUCUCUCAAUAUUAGUUCAAUAGUUAUUUUACCAGUUUCAAAAUUUCUGGUUUUUACUCUAUAAUUGGAUUGAAUUUCAGACCAGUUCUUGGUUUUUCUAGUCGGACUAGGCUCUCCGGUUCUAGUCUGCUUUUGAUAGUGUUGGUUCAAAGAGGGGUGAGUAAGUUCAAUUAUUUUUCUCAAAAAAUUGAUGAUUUAGUUACUAUCUUGAGAUGUGAAAUGAUUCAAACAUGUCAGGAUGAUUGAUAUUUUAUGGUUUAGUCUAUGAGAUGACCAGUAGCUAAGGUUCAUCAAUUGUUUUAUUUUUCUCUGUUUUAAUUCCCAUUUUAGAUAAGUUAAGUAUAACAGUACUUUGACAUCAUCAAAGAGAAAAGCUAAACAUUCUGUUUGAAAUGGCUUCUUAGUUUAAUACUAUAGCCUCCUCGUUUCGUGACAUUAUGGCUUUUUGGUCGACCCUAGUAAUGACCUUUCAGCCCUUCUCAAAGAAAACAGUCAAAGAAAAUAUCAGUAUGUGAUGGAGGAAAAAAAUUAGAAAUCAAGUGAGCAUUGGUUGAAUAUAGCAACAAAUUUUAAAUUGACAACACAAGAAUCAGCUUCACUACUGUGAUCCUGUCGAUUCAGUUGAUAAAAAACUGAGGCUUACCUGAAAUUCUUUGCCUUUCCCAUUCGAAAGCCUUACUGAGAUGAAGUCUCUAGAUAACAGGAAUGGCCGGUUUGUUCCAACGUCAAAUGUUACAAAUAUUUUUUUAUCUUUUUCCUUAUGCUUAUUCCUUGAGAGAUAACCGAUCUUGAAAAGGAUUUCAGCAUUGUGCAACUCCAGAUUUACAUUCUUCAUCUCAAAUCCAUCCCAUUUCUGAUCCAAGAAAGCAAAUUGAAGAUAUUAUGGUGGUACAACAAUGUUAAUUCUCUACAUAUAAUGAGCACACUUAUAGGUACCGAAGUCAGAGUGAAAGAAUACAAAAAAAAUCCCUAACAAAAGGAAUACAGUGAUUUCAAGAACCCAUAAAAAUAUAGAGCUUCUUUGUUUGUUUUUAUUUCAAGGAUUAGGGUUCUGAACAUUUAUCUAGUCAGAAGAUUAAAAAUAUCAUUUGAGCAAGUAAAAAGCACGAAGAACAACUACCGACUACCAUCAUUUUUUGAUACUUUUAUUGAGUUUUAGGGAAUGCAGAGCAUCGAUUGAGGUAGGAUCACCAUUUGACAACACUUCAUUGUAAAUAAAUAAGAUUACCGUUUUGAACACCAUAAAACAGUGUGAAGACUUAAAACCAGAUACUGUGAUUAUGAGCUAAAAGAACUUCCAGCAACACGAGAGUUUGGUUUGUUACUAGAAAAACUCAGCCAAUAAAGGAAACUGAAAAUUCUGAAUCGAAGCAAUUAACAUAAAUUUCUUAAGUCUAAAACUAAAUGAUAAAAUUCUUUCUGACUUAAAUGAAAGAUUGUGUUGUUACUCUCUAACAUCUCCCUCUAAAUUGGGUUGGGUCCAGUGACCCCUACUUAUGCAAAGAAAGUUUAAGAAACAAGAAGAAUUAAAUGGGCAAAUUACCCUUUCUUAUUUUGUACUAACUCCGUCGCAGGCUUGUUACUAUUUUACACACAAAUUAAGAAAGGACAAAGAUAUUUGUACGCACACAUUUGUACAAAAUGUUUUACUCACUCUCACAUACACUUGGGCCCCACAUGAAAUUAAAAAUGCCAACAUGUAGCCCUCACCCUCCCAUUGUGAGUGUAAGUAAACCAUUUUGUACAAAAAUAGGUUUUACAUCUAGCACUCUCCAGAAAGAAAAUGUAAUUAAUAUAGUUGGAAAUAUAAAUUUUUCUUACAUUUUUCCUAAUAUACCCCCACAUUAAAUAAUGAUUUAAAUAGGAUUAAUUUAUAUUUGUUGAUAACAAUGUAUAUUAAAUAGGGGAAUAUUAGAAAACAAAAAAAUAUAUAUCUAUACUUUCAAUAAAAAAAGUGGUCUAUAAUUUGGGACAGGCGGGAAAAAAAUAAAAAAAUAUGGGAUGGAAGUAGUACUUUCUAGAAAAAAGGUCAUAUUUAAUCAAAUACAAGGCAAGUAACUGGGAAAUGUAGCAUACACAUACACUUACACAUUUGCCUACAUGAAUAGGCCUUUAUGUGCAACGGUGCGAUCGUCCGUGUUUACCAGAAGGGCGUGGGCAUACCUGAGAAUUUUCCGAUGUCUAUCCCAGGUAGGAUUGAGCUUAGAAUGAAGAAAUCAGCAACUUGAACAGCACAAAUGAGGAGUAAUUCUAUGAUCCUAUUAAGACUUAAAAAUGGAUUUUCAAGAUUUUAGCAGUAAAUCGGUGAGCCUGCCUGCGUGUAUUAAUCUGAGAAGGAAGAGAGUAAAGUGGAGACAACGAUAUGAAUACUGAAGAAAAGAAAGACUACUUCAUGGUUCCAACAGCCAAUAAUAUCUCUUCUUCCCUUACGUUCUUCGUGCAUGUUUGGCUAAGAAAACUCAACUUGUAAGUAAACUUACUUAUAGGCAAAUAAUUGUGUUUUUAAAUACAUAGAUUUUUCAUUUGUUCAAAUUAAAUACUUAUUUUGACAAUAAAAUAAAUAUUUUUCUAAUAUGUACUAGAAAUUAAUACACACAUACACUUUCUUAAUUCAGUGCAAAUAUGUCUCCAACGAACAUUCAAUCUCUAGAAUAAUAGCAUCAGAUUCAACCUGGCUUUGUGUGUGAUGCAUCAACAAAGGUUUAUGAGGCGGACAGAACAUAAAGUGUGGUUAGUAGGGAUUAUGAAUGAAAGCGAUAUGAUUCAAUUAUUCAAAUGAAUGAAUAUGAUUGAUUUGAAACUUCUACUUGUUGAGUCGAGGUCGUUGGGGGUUGGGAUGAAUAAAUUUUAAAAAUAAAUACUCAUAAGAAAGGACAAAUUCGAUUUUAGAGUCGAGUACUUACGGUUCCUAUUCAAGAACUAAGAAUCGACUUGGACCGAAUUGAUUUUCAAUUUGAUUCCUAAUUUAUUAUUUUGGAACUAGAUCGAAAUAUUUGAUCUUGGUUCGAUUUCAAUUUGGCAGGUUUGAUUUUCGCUAAAAUGUACACCCCUACAUGAAUGGUUGAAUAGUCAACCUGAUUUGAUCUCCUAUAUUGAUUGGCCAAUCCAUGAACCCAUGAAACCUCGAUCGAGUUAAAGCUGAUUUCGAUCCAUUUGUUUGAGCUAGGUAACCCCAACUCUAGGUUGCAUGUUCAUUUUGACACGAGCCCACACAUGAACAUGUACCAAUGCGUCUACUUGAUUGAAAACGCUUGUAGUCAUUAUAUGCGUUUCUCCACUUCGGUCACCAAACUUUUUUUUUUUUCUCAACUUAGUCAAUGAACUUUAGUUUCUGUUUCAUUAUAGGCACCUCCCAAAAGAAAAAAAAAAGGCUCACGUCUAAACUUAACCAUCCAAAUUGAAACAAAAAUAGAAGAUCAAUAGUUGAUUAAAACAUCGAAACUUUUACUGUAAUAAAAUAAUGUCAAAUAUUUAAUAUUUAACUUAUAUAUUCAAUUUAGGAAAUUCUUGUUUAAUUAUGGAAUUUUUUAGAAAUUAGAAGUAGUAUCGCCUUUUUUUAUUUUUUAUUUUUAUAAAGCAAAAUGGAAUACACUAAAAUAGAUUGCCACGACUUGGAGACUAUAAAAAGAAUGGAAUACAAUCAAUCCAACCAGAAGUGCCAAUGACUAAAUGAAUAAAAAACGCUACAAAGUGGGCUACUCUAUUCUCGUCAUGGGAAAUAAAACAACAAGAACCACAAUUGACGUCGCCUAAUAAAGCUACAAUUCUCAUCUUUGAGAGCCAUGACUAGCUCUAUUCAAUCCGCGCUAGUUGACUUAGAGUGCAACGAGUGGAUAUUCGAGUCCAAAUAUCCCUCCAUCAGAAGUACUUGCAGCUUCGUGAUCUAGAUCACCAUUCAACAAGCACUUAUAUCCACUUCUAUAAAUAUAAGUUCCGUUUGGGUCGUGGUGCAUAAUUAAUAAAUCUCGUCUCAAUGUAUCUAGUGGAAUAGGCAAAAUCUGCUCUUUAUCAGAUGAGACAAAAAUUCUCGCUAAUAGUUCCAAUCUCCCAUUCCCCAACAUGUGUAUUCAAAUCAGCUACAUUAUCUACCUAUUCGAGGCAGCGUUGAUUGGCCAAAUAGGAGGUUUUGAUAACCCCAAAUGUGGAGAUGACCAAUGUUGGUAGCUCUACGUCCAUUCUAGAUUUCGAGAGAAGUCCUAAGGAAAAGACUUUGAUGGAACUAUGUUCUCAACAUACGCUGUAGUCUCGAAAUUGUGCUACAGGUACAACUUAUUUCACAGUAUUGUUGACAACUUUCUCAUAUGGAGGAUUGGGGCUGCGAUUAAAAUAAUCUCGAGCCCCACAUUUUGUGAGAGAGCUGUCAAAUAUAGUGUACAGCACUUGAUGUACACUUGUCAUUUUCCAUAGUCUCGAGGGUAUAUCCCUAAAAUGAUGAAAAACUCGUAAUGGAUUUAACCAUAUUUGAUAAAGUUCUGUUUCUCCUCUCUCAAAUACCAUUUUGUUGGGGUGUCCAUUUGCGCCUUGGUUGGAUACAAUCACAUAUUCCGAUAGGUAUUUCCUAAAUCCAUGUACAAGGUAUUCAUGACCUUAAUUUGAUCGAAAUGUUUUGAUAUUUUUCCCAAAUGUUUCUCAACCUCUGUACGAUACUCUUUGAACUUUCAAGAUUUUUUGAACUUUUAUACUUCAAUUAUAUGUACCUGUAUCUUGAGUAAUCAUCCAUAAAUAUGUCAAAGUACUCGUGAUCGCUUAUCGCAAUUGCACUCGUAGGACCACAUAUAUAAGAACCGAUUAAUUCUAAAACAUCCUUGGCACUAUAUUCUUUAGCUGAAAAGGAUUCUUGAAGGCAAGCUUCACAUAUUACAUAUGGUUCCACCUUUAAACCAUUUAGAACCCAUCUUUUUUCAAAUGUUCAUAAUCUUAUAUGUCCAAGUCUUAAAUGUCAAAAAAAUAUUUCAUUGGUCGAAGAUAAUAUUACGUUAUUGUUCCAAUAGCAUUAUAAAUUACACUAGUAGUUGAGUGUAACAUAUGGAGAUAGCUAUCAAGCCAAACUGGAGAUUAUUAUCAUGUACUGACAUAGACUAAUAGAAGAUUAUUGUGGAUAGGGCACGCCCAAUACUUUUCCAUCAUGUUGGGCAUAGACAAUGGAGGUCACCCGAUCGACACCUUUCAUAAUUUAUUUGAUUUAUUUUUGAAAUUAAAAAUAAAAUAGUCUCGUGUCGACCAUAAGCUUAACUAGCUAGACUCUACAUAACCAUAUCAAAUCUAGGCUAGACCCUCAACGAGUAAUUCCAGACGGGAACGGUUAGACCAUGUUUCAACACUAUGGAGCUGGUGCUCGAGAAAUGGACCCAUUCAGGUAGUGAAAGAACCAUUAUUUAUGAAUUCAAAGAAAGAAAAAGGAAAAAUCUAGAGAAAUCUAUGAAUUCAUGUACACAAAGUUUAUUGAACUCCAAAAGCAGAGCCAGAAUCCUAGAAUUUGUUCCUUUCCUCCAAGAAACUUCCGACCAAUUCUCUUUCAUAUAACAAUGUCAAUCACUUUGAUCUUUUUUGCCAAGAAACUUCCUACAAUGUUCUACCCGCAAUUUCAACCGCAAGUUAAGAUAAAAUGAUUUGUAUAUCCCGUACAAAAAAGGACAACCUUAGAUUUAUUUAUUUAUUUUUUUCUCUCAAUAAUUGAAAACAAUAACCUUCUACCAUCAUCCUUCGAGUUCUGCUACCCGUACAGGCCACACACAAAUAGGGGGGGGGGUAGGCUAAUUUUAUUUAUUUUUUAAAUAAUCACCCACCCCACCCCCCACCUAGCAUGUGAGGGACUUGUACAGCAGGCAAUUUCCUAUACAUAUACACACACAUACGGUUGUUGCAACAUAUACAUAAUAGUUUACUUAAUGGUAUAUAUAUGCAUAAUAUAGUGAAAUAUGAUUGGAUCAACAUUUUUUCAACCAAAAAUUAAAAGAAAAUUCCCUAUUCUCUUUUUGACACAUAUUCUAUAUAUAAACUAUUAUAUAACUCCUUAUAUACAAAUAGCAUUAUAUAUGUGAUGUAAUCUUCAUUGUUGUAUAUAUAACUAUAUGCAUAUAUGCAAUACCUUCGUGACUUUACACGAUACAUCACCAAAUAGGAAUAGGAAACUUCAAAGUCCAUCUGACGUGUUUCUGCUUUAAACUCCCAUACGAUAUGUUUUUGUUAAGUUGUGAAACCUAAUUACUAUCAUUUCGUGAAGCUAUUUAGGAAUUUGUAUUCUUUUGAAAUUCAAUUUUACUCUAAUUUAUCUUAUAAAUCGGGGGCUGUAAAAAGGAGACAAAGAGACGCUAGAGAAAAUAAGAGUUCGAUUGUUUAUUUUUAUUUUUUGUAAACAUUGUUCGUCAUAGUAAAUUAUUGCAACGGUGGGAGCGAACGUAGUCUCACAUUAAGGCGAACCUCUAUAAAUUUUGUAUGUCAUUGAAUGUUUAUUUUUCUUUCUUCAAGCAAUCAGCGGAGUAGAAUUAGAGUUUAUAAGUCUCAAAGUUUCCUCUAAGUAGCAUCCACCUAAGAUGAAUUUUCAUUAAGCUUGACAAAAAUGGCCAUGGAAAGGUUAGUAUCUAUAAGAUAAUGUGGCUCUUUCAAAGCAUUGUAUCUAUACCUGCACAGAAGAUGAGAUAGAGUUAUUUUUGGACAAAACCAAGUGUCAAGGACCGCAGCUUUACUUAGACCCUUGACACAAUCGUAGCCGCAAUUUGCCCAAUUUCGACCGCACAUUGUAAAUAUUUGUUCAAGUUUGAGUUGUAAUUUCCUUUCUAUUGUAAUAGUUAUUUUAGUUGUAAAAUAGCUCAGAUAUUUGUAAACGUUUAAUAUGAUUUCUUGUCAUUUAAACGUCUACUCUUGUCAUAUAAGUUUUUGUUUCGAAUGCUAUUAUAGGGGGUAUUAGUCAAUCAAAAAUCUUUCAAGCUUACCGGUGUCCGCCUUCUGUACCAGCAAUUGUAAUUUUUAGCUUUCAUCAAUUUUAUCAAUUUACUUUCAAUGCAUUCAAAUUCUCUGUUGUAAACUUUCUAAAAAAUUGUAAUCAAAUUUUCUUUCAUCUCGAUGUGAUUGAGAAAAGGAGAAAAGUAGUCUAGCGGAGCAGACUACUGUCGCACGGUGUCCCUUUAUGUGUCAAGAAGAAAGGCACCCCAUGAAAGUUGAUAUCAGAGCUAUGGCUCACGACCCUCGAUAAGAAAGCUAUGUAUCAAAUUACAUCACACACUACUGAAGUGAGAGAUCCUCAAAUGAAGAGUACUACUAAAAAGCGAGUGGAUGUGCUUGAUGAGACAACUACUAGGUUGUGCUAUGCCGUGGAGGGCCUCGAGGAAAAAUUCGAGGUGGCAGAGUCAGAGAUUCAUAAAUUAGACAUCCAACUGGAUGAAAGCCAAAAGGCUUGUGCAGCAAUGACUGAAACUAUUGCAAUCAUUCCUGAUCUGCAGAAUGAAAUGGAAGAGUUGAUAGCUCAAUUACAAGUACUCCAAUGUGCAGUGGACAAUGGGCAAGCUCCCGCACAUGAGUAUACUCCCAGACUUAGAAUUCUUGAACUGUGUUCCUACGGAGGGGCACGUGAUGCAAAAAAAGUCGAAAACUUCUUGUUAGGCAUGGAACAUGCAGAACCCCAAAUAAUUUUAAACACCUUAGUGGCACUAAGACAUGAAUAUUGGAUGGCUAAAGUAUACUUCAAAUUUUUAGUCUCAUUUGAGACCCAUUUACGACAUAAAAAACAUUCGAUUUGAAAAAUGAUAUUUCAAGAAAAGUUGUAGCUCUUUGAGUUAGCCUUCCAACGCACUUUGAAUUACCUCAAUCGGAUAUCGGGAGAAGAAGUUAUGAUGGAAAUACUAAAGGCUGUACAGUAUCAACCGAAGUACGCAGAAUAUGAAAAGUCAAAUUCCUACACGACUUUCUAGCACCUUCUUGAACCUAUAACUCCCACAUAAAUGGCACCCAUAUUAAUGAGUAUUAGGCCCUUCACUUGCCCUUAAGUUGUGAGAUUUUCACCUAUAAAUAGGCCCCAAUGCAUACACAUUUUUCAUACCAAGACAAAAGCUUCUAAGCAUAAAAGAGAAAGUUUUCAAGAGGGAAGAAAAUUAGUUUUUCCUAGAAGUUUUGGUGCUAUCAAGAAGUGUUUUCCAAGCAUCAAUUCUCAACGAAGUGUUUUUUUUGAAACAUCAAAGGAGUGCAUUUUUCAACAAUGUUCAAAGCAUCAAUCAAGUUAGGUAGAGGUGCAAAGUGUUAAUUCGUGUUAAGUUAUAAGUUUCUAGCAAAUGAAGAUUUAUGUUAAUGUUUGUAUGUCUAAUGGUACCUCUGGUACGGCAUACACAUCCAUGUCUAAUGGUACCUUCGGGUACGGCAUGUACUUCCAGUCAAGGCGUCGUGUUAAGUCAUGACUCUACAUGUUUGGGAUUCUACCGAAAAUCCUACUAUGAAAAGGUUUCUAAAAUUACAGUUUUGAAAUGUAUAGCUUGAUCACGAAUACACCAAUGAUAUCUAUUGAGUUUUUUUAACUCACGGGUUUAACCCCUUCUCUACAGAUUGAUAUGAUUCUACCUUGGGCCUGGAUGAUGGAAAAGAUGGAGAGUGGUGCAACGAGCCCAUGGAAAAACCCGGUGAACCAGUUAAUUAGAUUUAUUUUUGUGAACGUUUUCAAUGUUAUUUCUUUAAAGUAUUUGAAUAACGCUGAGCGCGAGAAGAAGUUGUGUUUUCUUCAAAUAAAUUACGUUUCGUUAUUUUUUAUUCAGUGUUUUAUUUAAAAUAUUCGAAAGGUUGUUGUUAAAAUUAUCAUUGUAAAAAUUAAGCUUCCGUUAAAACAUAUUCUCCUAUGACUAAACCACCGAUUAAUUAAGUAAAGUAAGUAACGUUCCGGUCCAUAAGGGGUCGGGGCGUUACAGCGUGGUAUCAGAGUACGGUUUAGCCGGUUCUGUAGACCAAGUAUGUUUUUUUUUUAAAAAAACUGUUUAACCGGUUCUUUAAACCAAGUAUGUUUUUUUUUUAAAUGAAAAAGUCUAAGAUAUUCCAUGGCAUCUUGCAUCCAUCCAUCAAUCUCAUCCUAUGGCCCAGGUAUGUUGAAAGUUAAUGUUUUCAUGAAAAGACUAUGUUAUGAUGCUUUGCGAUGCUAUGGUACAACUUAUGCUUAUUUUCAAAGAUAUACUAUGCCAGUUAGAAAUGAUUUGAAAGAUGUGUUUUUUUUUUUUUCAAAAGAUAUGCAUUGGGCUAGAAUUUAUAGGUAGAAUGUUAUGUAACAGUAGCCAUUUUUCCAAGAGUAAGAAAAAAAAGUAUAUGAUAUGUGAAAAUGCAACAAAUAUGGCUCGUAGAACGGUCAGGGCAUAUAAAGAAGCAUUGAACCGCAGAAUCGUCAUUCAGUCCUAUGAGAAUUACGUUACUGAUAUGCUUCGUCCACUUGACGAACAUAUACAUGAUGUCUAUGAGAGGUGCAUGACAGCGGUGAACGCUGGAAUGGAGAUAACGCAUAUUGAGGCUAUAAAUAACCUCAUACACUCCCUUCCACCUCAAUGGAGAGAUAUGGGAGUCACGGUUAGCGAUGUAAUGCUAGAGGGGUACCCAAAUAUAUUUGAAGUUGAAGUGUAUUACCAAUCAAUCCUAGACCUAUGGAGGGAAAACUUAGAACCUCAACCGGAGAUAGUAAUUGAACUUGAUGAAGAAGAAGAGCCUGAAGAAGGGAAUGAUCCUGAGCCCGAGCCAUAGGUUGAGAUGGACAUAGAAUCCGGACCUGAGGCGGAAGACUCCUCUAGAGAUGAGGCUCCACCAAAGAAGAUCCGUAGAACUUAUAGGGGUUAGAUUUAAAUCCUUGUAACAACUUUCUUUAUGUCAAGAAAUAAAACUUUAUCUUCUUUGUUAAGAUUCGAAGUAUGAAACUACUAAGAACCAUACAUUUUGUCUAAAGGAAAAUGGCCCGCGCAAACCAAACCAACUUGAUAAGAGAUCUCCUCCAAGCGGUCAAGACCUUGGCAGGCAAAACCCGAACCAGGCGCAACCCCUACCACUAGCUCCUAAUGCUCCUCCAACCCAUGCUUCAGUGGUUGAGCAAUUUAGACGACACAAGCCCCCUACCUUCAAUGGAGCAGCUGAUCCACUUGCAGCCGAGGAGUGGCUUCGCAAGUUGGAGAGAAUAUUUCGAUUAAUAGGGUACAUGGACGCCCAGAAGGUUAAGUGUGCUGAGUUUAUGUUCUUCGGUGAUGCAAGCCAUUGGUGGGACUGAUGUUAAGGAUGAGGACCCCAGAGCAACAAGCGAAAUUGACUUGGGAGUGAUUUAAAGAGGAAGUAAUGGACAAGUACUUUCCACAGUCUUUAAGGGAUCACAAAGAAAGUGAAUUUCUCCAACUUAAGCAAAUGACUAUGUCCCUGACUGAGUAUGAAAUGAAGCUUGACCAACUUUCAAGGUAUGCUCCACAUCUGGCGGAUACGGAGGACAAGAAAGUCAGGAGAUUUGAACAAGGGUUGAAUCCAGAUAUAAGCAUGAUACUUAUGUCCCAUCGUGUCACCUCAUACCGUGAAAUGCAAGAAAGAGCUCAUGCUAUCUGGUACCAGAAGACUAGCGCCGAGCAAUAUAGUCAACUGUUCAAUCAACCGGACAAUGGCAGUAUGGGUAAAAGGAAAUGGAAUGGCUAGGAUAAGGGAAAGGGCAAGUGGCAGAACAAGAAAGCUAAUGGCGGAGCCAAUGCCAACAAGAGCAUUGUGCCAGUUAUAGAGCCAUGUCUUAAGUGUGGAAAGACGCAUCGUGGCGUGUGUUUGCAAGGGAAGAAUGUUUAUUUCAGAUGUGGCAAGCCAGGGCACAUUUUUAAGGAUUAUCCCACAUUUACCCCGAAGAAGGAUGAUAACAAUGACCAGAACCAGAAAGGGAGAGCACAAGUUUUUGCAAUGGCUCAGAAAGAUGCAGAGGAAAACUCGACGUCAUAGCAGGUACUUUAUUGAUAGCCAAUACACCUGUUUAUGUAUUGUUUGAUUUAGGAGCCACACAUUCCUUUGUAUCGACAAAUUUUAUGGCUAAAUCUAGUAUUACCUGUGAUAAGUUGGAAGGUACAUUAGAGGUUAGCAUUCCUUCAGACAACCCUUUGAGUAAUGAUAGAAUAGCCAAAUCAGUAAGUAUUGAAGUUUAGGGAAAACCAGUGGAAGCGAACCUAUACAUGAUAGAAAUGAAGAAUUUUGAUGUAAUACUAGGCAUGGAUUGGUUGGGUUGUAAUUACGCCACCAUCCGAUGUAAGGAAAGAGAGGUAUCAUUUCAGAAACCAGGAGAUGAACCAUUUUCAUUCCUUGGAAUGAAGACGAAACCCCUUAUUCGACUAGUAUCGGCAUUACAAGCUAAGAAUAUGUUGAGAAAAGAAACAUGUCAAGGAUAUUUAGUAAACAUCUCAGGAGGGAAACAGGAGACGAUAAAGGUUGGAGACGAACCAAUAGUACAGAAAUUCAUAGAUGUGUUUCCAGAAGAUCUAUCUGGUAUUCUACGAGAUAGGCAAGUGAAAUUUACCAUAGACCUAAUUCUCGGAGUGGUACCAGUGUCAAAAGCCCCAUAUCGAAUGGCCCCGAAGGAACUACAAGAGUUAAAGAAGCAGUUGCAAGAACUCCUAGAUAUGGGCUUUAUACGACCAAGUGUAUCUCCAUGGGGUGCACCGGUGUUGUUCGUGAAGAAAAAUGAUGGAAGCAUGAGGAUGUGUAUCGAUUAUAGGGAGUUAAAUCGAUUAACUAUCAAGAAUAAGUACCCACUCCCGAGAAUCGAGGAUCUUUUAGAUCAACUGAAAGGAGUUAAAGUAUUUUGCAAGAUCGACUUACGAUCGGUAUACCAUCAAUUGAAAGUAAAGUCAAAGGAUAUACCCAUGACAGCUUUCAAAACUCGUUAUGGACACUAAGAGUUUACAGUGAUGCCGUUUGGGCUAACCAAUGCACCUGCAGUGUUCAUGGACCUGAUGAAUCGUGUAUUUCAUCAGUACUUGGAUAAAUUUGUCAUAGUUUUCAUUGAUGACAUUCUGAUAUAUUCCAAGAGUAAGGAGCAACAUGAAGAGCACCUAAGAAUAGCAUUAAAGGUAUUACGCAAGGAGAAGUUGCAUGCCAAAUUCAAGAAGUGUGAGUUCUGGCUUGAACGAGUUGGAUUUCUUGGACAUAUAGUCACUGCCCAAGGGAUUGAGGUAUAUCUAGCGAAAGUGGAAGCAGUAACCAACUGGAAAGCACCAACUAAUGUUGGCGAGGUACGGAGCUUUCUAGGAUUAGCAGGAUAUUAUCGGAGAUUCAUAGAAGGAUUCUCCAAAAUAACUGGACCAAUGACGCAGCUUACAAGGAAGGGAGUAAAAUUUCAAUGGACGGAUAAAUGUGAACAAAGUUUCCAAGAACUUAAACAAAGGUUGAUAUCAGCACCCGUGUUAACAAUACCUGAGGGUAUGGAAGGGUUUGUUAUAUACAGUGAUGCAUCCAAGCAAGGAUUGGGAUGUGUGCUGAUGCAGAAUGGAAAAGUGAUAGCCUAUGCAUCAAGACAAUUGAAGAAACAUGAGCAGAACUACCCGACACAUGAUUUAGAACUUGUGGCGGUAGUACACGCCUUGAAGAUAUGGCGACACUACUUAUAUGGAGGGAAGUGCGAUAUCUACACAGAUUACAAGAGUCUCAAAUAUUAUUCACACAGAAGGAAUUGAACAUGCGACAAAGACGAUGGUUGGAAUUGGUGAAUGAUUACAAUUGCACUAUCCAUUACCAUCCAGGUAAGGCUAAUGUUAUGGCCGACGCCUUAAGUAGAAAAUCAAUAGGACAGUUGGCGUCACUACCCAUUUUUCAAAUGGAGUUAGUCAAGGACUUGAAAAAGUUGCAGAUCAAAGUGGUUACCACACCAGGAAAAGUCAUUGCUCGUCUAGCAGCUUUGAUAAUUCAACCUACUUUUAGAGAUCGAAUUAUAGAGACACAAGGUAAUGACCUAUUCAUGUUGAAGAUCAAGAAUGAAAUUGGUACUGAUAAGAAAAAGGAUUUUGGAAUAGCUUUGGAUCAGGCACUGAUGUUUAAGGGGAGAAUUUGUGUGCCUAAGGAUGAAACCUUGAGAAACGAAAUAUUGAAAGAGGCCCAUUCCACCCGGUACACCGUACAUUUCGGUGGUACGAAAAUGUAUCGAGACCUCCGAGAUACAUUUUGGUGGAGAAAUAUGAAAAGAAGUAUAGGGUUGUACGUGCAGAAGUGCAUGGUAUGUCAACAGGUUAAGGCAGAACACCAAAGACCGACUGGAUUGUUAAAUCCACUGGACAUACCCGAAUGGAAAUGGAAAUGGAAAAAUAUCACAAUAGACUUUGUGGUUGGAUUCCCGAAGUCAGCAAAAGGAAACAAUGCUGCAUGGGUAAUAGUGGAUCGAUUAACAAAGUCAGCUCAUUUUCUUCCAGUGAAAAUGACAUUCAGUUUAGACCAAUUGGCACAGUUGUACAUUAAGGAGGUUGUGAGAUUACACGGCGUACUUGUGUCCAUUGUGUCUGACAGAGACCCAAGGUUCACGUCCAAAUUUUAGAAAAGUCUACAAGGAGCUAUGGGAACGAAGCUGAACUUUAGUACAGCAUAUCACCCUCAGUCUGAUGGUCAAUCUGAAAGGACCAUCCAAACUUUGGAAGACAUGCUGAGAGCAUGUAUUUUGGAUCUAGGGGGUAGUUGGGAGUCAUACAUACCCCUAGUAGAAUUUGCAUAUAAUAACAGCUUCCAAACAACUAUCGGGAUGGUACCGUACAAAGCUCUCUAUGGUAGAAGAUGUAGGUCCCCUGUUCAUUGGGAUGAAGUCGGGGAGAAGAGAGUUUUGGGACCAGAAAUAGUUGAAAGGACAGUUGAGGUAAUCGAUAAGAUCCGUGCAAGGACAAAGGUAGCACAGGAUCGACAGAAGAGCUAUGCGGAUACAAGGAGGAAGGAUUUAGAAUUCAAAGUAGGAGAAAAAGUGUUUCUGAAAGUGGCAUCGAUAAAAGGUGUACUCAGGUUUGGCAAGAAAGGAAAGCUACGACCCUGCUAUAUCAGACCAUUCAAGAUACUUGAUAGGGUCGAAAAUGUAGCCUAUCGGUUAGCUCUCCCACCUGGGUUAUCGACAGUGCACAACGUGUUCCAUGUAUCAAUGAUUAAGAAAUACGUGCAUGAUCCCAAUCAUGUAGUGAACUAUCAAUCCGUGGAAGUACAAAAGGACUUAUCCUAUGAAGAGGCACCGAUUAGAAUAUGGGAUCGAAAGGUGCACAAACUAAGGAACAAAGAAAUUCAAUUGGUCAAAAUACAAUGGAAUAAUCAUGAAAUAGAAGAGGUCACUUGGGAAGGGGAAGGAGAAGCCAAAAACAAGUAUCCAACACUAUUCGCCCAAUCAGAAGGUGAAUUUUGAGGACGAAAUUUUAAUUAAGGUGUGGGAGAUGUAGAACCCCAAAUAAUUUUAAACACCUUAGUGACACUAAGACAUGAAUAUUGGAUGGCUAAAGUAUACUUCAGAUUUUUAGUCUCAUUUGAGGCCCAUUUAUGAUAUAGAAAACAUUCGAUUUGAAAAAUAAUAUCUAAAGAAAAGUUGUAGCUCUUUGAGUUAGUUUUCCAACGCACUUUGAAUUACCUCAAUCGAAUAUCGGGAGAAGAAGUUAUGAUGACAAUACUAAAGGCUAUACAGUAUUAACCGAAGUACGCGGAAUAUGAAAAGUCAAAUUCCUGCACGACUUUCUAGCACCUUCUUAAACCUAUAACUCCCACAUAAAUGGCACCCGUAUUAAUGAGUAUUAGGCCCUUCAUUUGCCCUUAAGUUGUGAGAUUUUCACCUAUAAAUAGGUCUCAAUACAUACACAUUUUUCACACCAAGACAAAAACUUCUAAGCAUAAAAGAGAGAGUUUUCAAGUCUAGAAAAAAGAGAAAGGAGAGGGAGGAAAAUUAGUUUUUCCUAGAAGUUUUAGUGCUAUCAAGAAGUGUUUUUCAAGCAUCAGUUCUCAACGAAGUGUUUUUUUUGAAAUAUCAAAGGAGUGCAUUUUUCAACAAUGUUCAAAGCAUCAAUCAAGUUAGGUAGAGGUGCAAAGUGUUAAUUCGUGUUAAGUUAUAAGUUUCUAGCAAAUGAAGAUUUAUGUUAAUGUUUGUAUGUCUAAUGGUACCUCCGGUACGGCAUACACCUCCAUGUCUAAUGGUACCUCCAGGUACGGCAUGUACUUCCAGUCAAGGCGUCGUGUUAAGUCAUGACUCUACAUGUUUGGGAUUCUACCGGAAAUCCUACUAUGAAAAGGUUUCUAAAAUUACAGCUUUGAAAUGUAUAGCUUGAUCACGAAUACACCAAUGAUAUCUAUUGAGUUUUUUUAACUCACGGGUUUAACCCCUUCUCUACAGAUUGAUAUGAUUCUACCUUGGGCCUGGAUGAUGGAAAAGAUAGAGAGUGGUGCAACGAGCCCAUGGAAAAACCCGGUGAACCAGUUAAUUAGAUUUAUUUUUGUGAACGUUUUCAAUGUUAUUUCUUUAAAGUAUUUGAAUAACGCUGAGCGCGAGAAGAAGUUGUGUUUUCUUCAAAUAAAUUACGUUUCGUUAUUUUUUAUUCAGUGUUUUAUUUAAAAUAUUCGAAAGGUUGUUGUUAAAAUUAUCAUUGUAAAAAUUAAGCUUUCGCUAAAACAUAUUCUCCUAUGACUAAACCACCGGUUAGUUAAGUAAAAUAAGUAGCGUUCCGGUCCAUAAGGGGUCGGGGUGUUACAGAACAAUACUUUCUCGCAGCUUCGAUUGAAAAUAAAGCAAGAAAAGUAACCACAAUUACCAUGUAUCUAGAUGGAGAUGCAAAAUUAUGGUGGCGAAUAAAAUAUGCUGAUAUUUAGGCCAAUAGGGUUCGAAUAGAUUCUUGGGAUCUCCUGAAGGAAGCAAUAGAUCACAAUUUUUCCUAGAAAAUGUUGAGUAUCUAGCUUGAUGGGCACUUCAAGACCUGAAACAUACAAGCUCCAUCAGGGAGUAUGUGAAAGCCUUUUCAGGGCAUAUGCUGAAUAUCCGAAAUAUAUCGGAAAAGGAAAAGCUCUUCACCUUUAUCGAAGGGUUGAAACCAUGGACACACACAGAACUUUAGAGACAAAAGGUUACUGAUUUGAUCGCGACCAUGGGAGCCGCUGAAUGUUUGAGUGACUAUCAAAUAGAGUUGAGAAAAGAUCGACCUUCGGGGAGUAAUCAAGCAAUUGGAGGUGGAAAUAGACCUUACAAACCCAGCUCGAACCCAAAUAGGAGAGAACGUUACUCUCAGAAUAAGGGAGGAGCCAACUAAAGCACCCGUCAUUCUCAAGGAAAUUAACAUAAUAACCGUCAAGAGAACUAUAACGGCAGCAAUAGUAACAACUGGAACAAAGGGAAAGUAACGGAGGAUCGACCUGUCGCUAAUUCUAAAAUUGUGUGCUUUUCAUGCGAAGGACCUCAUUUUGUGUCAGAGUGUCCUCAGAAACAGAUGGCGAAUGCAUAUUGUCAACUAGCAAGUGGCAGAUCAAGUUCAAAGCAAGAUGCCCCACAAGCUAGUUGUCAUGGUGAGACCAACUCCAAAGAGGAUGAGGAUGUAGUUCGUGCAUUUUCACAUCGGUGCAAUACAUUGUCACAUCGGGUUGCUGAAAAUGAUGAUGUCCCUUUGAAAGAGACAAAGACGGAAGAAGCAAAGACUCGUAUUUGUAGGGCCAAAGGCUUAAUGUAUAUUGAUGUGAAGAUCAAUGGAAGCCAAUUAGGGCUAUGGCGGAUACUGGUGCUACCCACAACUAUCUUACAUGUACUGAAAUAGAGCGACUAGGACUUGUUCUGGAAAAGGAUAGUGGGAAAGUCAAAGCAAUCAACUUCAUUGCUCAACCAAUAGCUGGAGUGACGAAAUCGGUGUUGAUCAAAGCAGUUCCUUUUGAGGAAAUGACAAAUUUAUCUGCAGUUCAGAUGGAUGACUUCAAUGUGUCAAAAGCUUUGAAAAAAUUUAAUAUGCUUGAUUGUAAGCCUAUGACACUUCCUCUUGCUAAUCACUUUAAACUAUCUUCUAAAUUUUGUCCUAAAUCUGAAGAAGAAUAUGCCAAAAUGUCAAAAAUUCCAUAUGCUAAUGUAAUCGGUUCUGUGAUGUAUUUGAUGAUAUGUACCAGACCUGAUCUUGUAUAUAGUAUUAGCCUUCUAAGUAGAUUCUGUUGACCUACGGUUGACUUCUCGUUUUGAUUAUAACAAACAAAUUAUGUUUAUUACUAACAAUUGUAUUUAAAUGAUUAUAGAAGUUAUGACAAACAUAGUAAAUCGAAGAUAAAAGAUUGCUUUUGGAGCUUUCACACAAAUUGAAGAAAGCGGGAGCCCAGCUACACAACAAGUCAACAAGCACUUCAUCAAGUUAAACUAUGAAGAAAUUAGACUUAGACACCUUGAUUUCAAAUGUAAAGGUAAAAUACUUAUGUAUUUGAUAAAUAUGUUAUUUGAUGCUCAAGAAAGUUUCUUUGCACAACAAACACGAUUUUUUGCAUAAAUAAUUUUUUAAGGCAUGAACCUAAUUAUACACUUUAAGGAAUGUCAAAAAUCUUGAAAAACAAAGUAGAAACAUCCUUCAUGACAUUACACCCUUUUCGAAUAUUAAAAGAAGAAAAAUUCUAACUACCAAAUGCAAACUGGUCUAGAUGACGCGUCAUGUAACUCUGGUGGAUGCAACCUAUAACUUUGGCCUAGAGGACACGUUCUAUAAUCCUAGUGGACGUCUGGCACGACAGGUUUGUCCAACGGUCUGAAAAUUGGACGUUCUGACUUCUAAAUAAAAAACGGUUAGUUGACCAUCCGAUAAGUUAGAAGACGUCCAGUAGCCUCAUUCGGUAAGAUAAAAUUUUUGAUGGUUUUGCUACUAUAAAUACCAGAUCAGUUUGCAUUCAAGAUAACAACUUCAAGAGCAUUAAAGUGCAAUUUUCUUGAGCUUAAAUAUUUGUUUUAUAUUCUUUACUCAUCCCUAUUCAUUCUUAAAAAACCUUUUAUUGAUUCAACAUUUGAUAAUCAUCUCAUAAAAAUUUUUCAUAUCUAACACCUGAGCUUUAAUUAUUGCUAUUUACUAAAGUGUUAACCUCCUUCUCUUGUUGUACUCAACUCUGAAUAAAUCAUUCAUUACAAGAGAAGUCUCUAUUUAUGAACUCUUUCUUUUCAAACUUAUGGGUAGGAUUGAAGUCCCGAAAAUUUCAACAUUAUAAAUGAACGGUGCUCCUCGCUUGUAAGUCACUAGAAGCAUUAUAAGAAGGUUGAAUUGCACCAUAAGUCAAUCAGUAUAGUAAAAAAGGCCUUGCUUGUGACGAAGAACUUGGUGACGGGGGACGUAGUUCAUUGUAUUGGAUCAAACCUCCAUAUCAUAUCGUUUAACUUCUCUUCCCUUUUACUUAUCCUUGUUUUUAUUUAUUACUUGUGAAUUUAUCUUAGUCUUCGUUCCUUUUCAUAUUUGACUAAUUGCUACAUUUAACUGAGAAAUAAUUGUAUACUUAAAACUAUUUUUCGAAAAAGUUACUAUAACCAAUUCACCCCCUCUUGGUUAGCUAGUCUUGGGUUUUCAAAUUUUUGAGUAAUCCUGGUGUAAGAACACUGGCAUGCUUUGAAGUGGUUAUUAAGGUAUCUUAAGGGAUUAUCAAACUUAGGAUUAGUGUUCAAAUCAGAUAAAAAUGGGAUAAGUUUGAAAGGGUAUACUUACUUUGAUUUUGCUGGCAAUAGAGAUAAUAGAAAAUCAACAUCAUCCUAUUUUUAUACACUGUGUGGUACUGCCAUUAGUUGGAAGUCUCAACUUCAAAAAAUAGUAGCUCUGUCCUCCACAGAGGCAGAAUAUAUAGCAACUACUGAUGCUGUUAAGAAGGGGAUUUGGUUAAAUGGCUUACUAACUGAAAUGGGCUUUGAUGAUAAUCACACUAUGCUAUUUUCUGUAACCAAAGUGCAAUUCACCUAAGCAAAAAUCCCAUGUUUCAUGAUAGAUUGAAACAUAUUGAUGUUAAGUAUUAUUUUAUAAGAGAAAUAAUUUCAAAAGGUGAAGCUAAGAUUGAAAAAGUUUCUACUCAAUUUAAUCCAUCUGAUAUGGGUACAAAAGUAAUUCCUUUAAACAAAUUCUUAAACUGUUUGAAACUUUUAUUGUUGAUUCUUUGUGAUUCAUGUACAGGUACAUAGAGCAAAUGAAAAUGAGUUAAGGAUUUGCUCCUGGCUGUACUAUAGUUCCAAAAAUUCUAGUAUGCUUUGAAGUGGUUAUUAAGGUAUCUUAAUGGAUCAUCAAACUUAGGAUUAAUGUUUAAAUUAGAUAAAAAUGGGAUAAGUUUGAAAGGGUAUACUCACUCUGAUUUUGUUUGCAAUAGAGUAAUAGAAAAUCAACCUCAUCCUAUUUUUAUACGCCGUGUGGUACUGCCAUUAGUUGGAAGUCUCAACUUCAAAAAAUAGUAGCUCUGUCCUCUACAGAGGCAGAAUAUAUAGCAACUACUGAUGUUGUUAAGGAGGGGAUUUGGUUAAAUGGCUUACUGACUAAAAUGGGCUUUGAUGAUAAUCACACUGUGCUAUUUUCUAUAGCCAAAGUGCAAUUCACCUAAGCAAAAAUCCCAUGUUUCAUGAUAAAUCGAAACAUAUUGAUGUUAAGUAUCAUUUUAUAAGAGAUAUAAUUUCAAAAGGUGAAACUAAGAUUGAAAAAGUUUCUACUUAAUUUAAUCCAUCUGAUAUGGGUACAAAAAUAAUUCCUUUAAACAAAUUCUUAAACUGUUUGAAACUUUUAUCUGUUGAUUCUUUGUGAUUCAUGUACAGGUACAUAGAGCAAAUGAAAAUGAGUUAAGAAUUUGCUCAUGACUGCACUAUAGUUCCAAAAAUUUUGGUAGCAAGGUAGAGAAUGUGAGACUCGAACUGUGGUUAUAUGCUUCCAGAAUUUUUUAAUAUUGGAAAGUCGUGUUUUAUGAAACUGCAACUUUAUUAAAUUGACACUUUCAACUGGAUGGAGACAUGUGGCUUAACUUGGACUGUUGGAUUGGAUCUGGAACCUUGUAUUAUUGGCGCUGUUUCACUUGGCAUGCUCUUCUACCAAUUAACGCGUCUGACUCUUGGUUCUUUGUGAGAAAAAAAUCCUCUUGUCUGGUUAGGGUUUCGUCUAUUUGAUUCUUUGGCUCAAAUAUCUGAUUUGAGGCCUUAAACUUGUAAAUCUUAGUGAUUUGGUUAGAUAUUUUGAGUGAUUAUCUGUCAAACCCUAUGUUCUCUUGAGUUGUGAUGUUUUAAGAGAAGUGCAGUGAAGAUUCUUUGAAGGUGUUGGAUCAAUCUUGAAAGAUAAGUGUCUUUUCUUUAUCUCCCUGUAUUUGUUGAACAUUUGUAACUCUUAGUUGCCAAUUUUUGGCUAUUAUAGUGCAACUGAGCGUAAUUCAAUUUGUUGGAUGCUCAACGGAGGAUGUCGGUGUUUGAAGCGGUCACUGAACCUCCGGGGUUUAGGUGAAAAGAAAUUUCCUGCACUGUUUUAUUUUAUGUCGUUUUGAAUAUCUUGCUUCUCAGUUUAAUAUUGUGUGAACUUUGACUUUCAAGAACGAACUGGCGAAUGGGUGCAUAACGUGUGGGAGUCUACUAAACAGUUUACUUUAGCAUUUCCUCCUAUAAGAUAUUCUAUUUAUUCCUCCUUCUAUCAAUAAAGUAAGAGAGAAGGCUGUCUCUGUCUUACAAAGAAAAAAGAUUUUUGCCCCAAAUACAAUAUUAUAAUCGGUUAAAAACACAGUUAGCCACCCAACUUAAUGCAUUGUUUCACUUUGGUCACCAAGGUUGUUCCUUGUUUAACUUUCAUUUUUGUUGCAAUUUAAGCAUUAUGUCUUUCUCCUGACCAACAUAAAAAAUGGUCAUUGUUUAUGCUCGUAAAGCAUAAAAAUGAUUUAUUGGGAGGGCCAUAAAAUUAAUAGAUAUACUAAUGUGGCUAAUGGAAAGACAUAAGUAGCAUGAAAAAUUAUUAAGUGCAUUGUUUUUAUCCUCCAGGUAGACAAAGUCUUGUCAUAUAUUUUUUCAAAGUAAGAAGAAGAAUCUAAAUCUUCUUCCCGAAUCCCCACAGCUCCCCUCAUCCAUCACCACUACUUUCAAAGUCAAUCUUACAAAGAGAAAAAUGCCCUCUGGGACAUGUCCCAGUGGUGCAAAGGACAACGGUGAAGUAUACUCAACCUUGCUGGCAGUCACAGUGUGAGGGUUCAAUUCUUGAAACAUGGAUUGUGACUCUUUGUGGGCACCAGUUUAUAGGUAGCUCUUAUUCCCUAACCUGCUGGGGUACAUCCCGCGAUUAACCUCUCUCACGAUGCUCCAGGGGCAGGACGGUAAAAGACCCUUAAGGUUGGGGUUCAACAACAACACAAUAAAAUUGUAACAAAAAUUUCCAACCCAGCUUCUUCUUUUCAAACUCAAUUUAUUUGUCUACGCAAAUAUGAAGGAAAAGAUGCCUGAAGCCAAUAAAAGCUGGAGCGCAUGUAUUAGCAUAUCAAUGAUAAAAGCUACCUCAAAACCUAGAAAAACCAUUGACAUGAGAGAGAGCGAGAGGGGGAGAGGGAGGGAGGUGGAGGUGGUAAAGCUCGUUUGAUAGUUCUUUCUAUAUUGAAUGUAUCUAUCAUCUGUUUUACCAAUAUUAAAAUACAAAUUGAUGCUACUGUAAUUGUAAUAGAGAAAACAAUAUUUCUCCUUUAGACAUGUUACCUUUUGAUGGUAUUCUAUCAACAGGAAUAUAAUAUCAAGGAAUAGUACUAACAACAUGAGCCAAUAAUGAUUAUAUAAAUGAAAUAACAGAAGGUUGCAAGUAAAUGUCAAUCUUCUUUGAGCAAAUAGAGAUAAUGGCAUAUAAGCUCAGUUUUAGGAGGCCACUUAAGUUCCUUCAAAUCUUUGAUCUCCAUCAGAAUGUCGGACCUCGAGGUGUUCAAGCGGGUGAAGGAUGCUGAGGAGGUGUCUUACCUUGGCUUAACCUGAGGUGCAUCUUGUCGCAGAUUGGACUCAUGUAGUCUUUUCGGAUCGGACUUUCCUGAUGACGAAACUUCUCUUCUUGGGGCCAUGGUUUCUUCCAUGUAAAUGUAUUUCUCAGCUCGCAUGAGUAGCUCGGUUACUGACUUUGGUAGAGUCUUAGACAAAGACAUCUUGAAUGCUUCACACUUAAUGGCGUAUAUCAAAGCUGAGACUGCUACUGUAAUAUGUAGAUCGGGGAUCUGAAACCUUUCCUUAUUGAAUUUGGUCAUGAAAUUGCGAAGUGUCUCAUUGGGUCCUUGACACAUCUGCAUGAGUGAUGCGGCUGUCUUUCUGAUUUUCUUGUUAUUUGCAAAGAAAGCAGAGAAGUUAUCGGCUAAAUCUGAAAAGGAGGUAAUAGAGUUGGGUUCCAAUGUGGAAAACCAAUCUCUAGCUGCAUUUGUAAGGGUCUAAGGAAAGGCCUUGCAUAUUACCGCAUUUGGUGCGACCUAUAAGUUUAUGAUAUUUGUGUAUACAUUGAGGUGGUUAAUGGGGUCAAUUUUCCCAUCAUACUCCUUUAUCCUAGGAUACUUGAACCUAUCCGGGAAGGGAUAUGAGAGAACUUCCGGAGUGAAUGAAGUAUUGGGGGUGAAGCCUGUUGUUGCCCGAGCAUUUUGUAGCAUACCCACUACGAUUCCUUCUUGAAUUAUCCUAGCGAGUUUAGCAAAAUUCAUUGUAACGGAUCUUGAACCUGAGACCACUUGCAGUGCACCCGAAGUUCCAACCCCACCAUCAUUAUGAGUUCUACGUGGGACUCGAGCUCUAGCAUCUAUCAUAAAACCACCUUUGAGGGUUGGGGUAUUUGACGGGUGCGAAUUUCUCUAACUCAACAAUUGGGUUAAUGCGGCAACUUGCUGACGAAGCUCCUCAAAAGCUCUAGUGGUAACAAUAGCUAGAGAAGGUGUUGACAUCUUUGAUGAUUCUUCUUGAGGGACAUGACAUUCUUCAGGAGGAAGAGGGUUAUCUGAAAUGGAUGAGCUUGCUGGAGGAAGACCUGAACGUGUAUUGACCAUAAUUUUUGGUAACGCUUCCCACAGACGACGCCAAUGAUGCUACCAAAAAAUCGUACUUGAAAGAUCUCGAACUAGAUUAUUGAACUCUGAACUUGGACGAAUUUGAAUGAACACGAACGAUUUUCGAAUACCUAAAACAAAAGCAAUGAGGUGUGUGUUCGUCGCCCCUUAGAUGCUUAAGUCAGAUAGAGAAUUUAAUGCGUGAGGCUAUGAACUAGGAAUAAUGAAAAAAAUACUUGAAGAAUGAGUGCGAGUAAUGUAUUUAUAGGUGUUGAUGAAAGAGUCCUAGACGGACUCAACCAUGUGUGAUCCUUAUCCUCGUAGGAUAAGGAGCUCGUAUUUUAUUCUAAGUAUUCCACUUAUGUUUGAGUCGAAGAGGGAGUCAAUUAGGAUAAGUAUUGUAGGUGGAAUAGAAUAGUUCUCUCUAGGAACCACAUCAGGGGAUUGAGGGCUUUAUAUGAACAAUGAUACCCGACCUGCCUUUAUGAACCCGACCUCAAAUACACCUGACCUCACAUUCGAGGGAUUCAUAGGGAGAUAAGGUCAGGGGUUUAUAGGUCGAGAUUGGGCCUUAAGAAUGUUGAGUUAUCGGUUAUUAAUAUGAAAAUAGGUUGAAAGGAAUGAAAUUAGGUUGCUUGAAUGUAUAGACCUAGAGAAGUUCCUUUCCUAUUUCAGUAGAACGUGUUAGAAGAGAUCGAGGUACAAACAAAAUGAUCAUAGCUUGAGCUGCUUAACAUGGUAAAAACUGAAAAGAGUUGAAUCUAUUGCAGAUUUUAGUAGAUGUAGAGCUAGAUCUAAUGGGCUUAUGCAAAUAAUUGUAUAGUCAACUCCAAAUUUGUUGGGAAGCAUAACUUCUAUUGUUCUUUCACAUUAUACUUCAAAAACUUUCAUCUUCUCGUCUUUUGAUUUUUUAUUGUGUGGUCAUCUAAUCAGGAAAUAUCUCGCUGAUCUCUUCAACAACGCUACCGAUCAUCUGUACCAUCCCUUGCACAAUUGGACUCUCUUUGUACAAGAGCACCUCAAUCGAAGCACGACAGAAGAUAGCAUCAUGUAGGAAUCUCAACUAUCAAGACCAAAGUCAUUCCUUUCCCACCUGAUCCCAAUCCCAAAAUGUUCAUUUACAACUGUUAAGACUGGUGAGAAUCUACAUUCCGGCAUGAACAGUAAUCUCCAUGUUCUGUUUGGAAAUAGGAAGAGUGCCCCAAGUCAGGAGCGGACCUAAGGGGGGGUCCCCUAAGGUCAUUUGACCCUCUAGGUAUUUCAAUUUUUUUUAACUUAGUUUUCGGGCUCACUAUAGAAUAUCAAAUGAAAUUGAAAUAUUACAUUCUUAAUAUUAUUUUGAAGUACUCGCGGCCUAGUAUUUCAUGUCGUUAAUGUUGUGUAAAAUGGCCAAUCGUAGCAAAUGUUACGAGACGUCAAUAUAAGUUGUUCCAAACUAAUAUUUCAAGAAUUUCGAUACCAAGCUAACUUUAAAAAUUCUUCGAUGAUUAUACGCUAGCCAUAUCCAUAAAUAUUCUAUAUUCUCUUGAAACUCAUUUCGAGAAUUAUAUCAUAAACACAUCAAAUGAUCUAAAUGAAUAUUGAAAAUAGUUAAACAUACAUCAAAUGUAUAUGCUAAAAAGAGACGUAUAACUUAUUUUUUCUUGUUAAACGUACGUCAAACGUAUAUGCUAAAAAGAGACAUAUAACUUGUGGUUGAGAGUAUAUUUUCCACCACUUGGUGCUCCAUCCAUUUCCAGUCGUUCUGCUAGCUGCUACAGGCUAGCCAUUGAUCCACUGACUCCUGUACAAAUGUCCAGUAGAGACAUUUUUUUAUUCUUUUAUUCCUUAAAUUCGAUUCCUUCUUUCUUUCUUUUUCUUGCUCAUUUGACUCAGACUAUGUGCAAUCUUCAUCCACCCUAGAUAGUGUGAGUGUCUCUCUGCUUGUUUGGGUUCAAUUUUUGAUUGGGAGGGAAUUGUUCCACGAUAUCUUAACUAGAACCAAUGCCAAAGCUGGGGUUGAAAUUAGGGCUGGACAAAACUCCCGAACCGAACUAAUCAAACCGAACCCGACGGUUCUUCUCAAAUUAAAUACCCGAACGGGUAUUUGAAUCAAGAACUGACGGGUAUGGUUCGGUUCUCGGUUCUAGGCCAAGACCCGAAAAAUCAAAUAAGAACCGAAUCUCCGUAAUUUUUUUAAUUAAUUAAUUUUAAAUAAGUAAAAUUAUUUUAUUUUUUCUAAAUAAAUUUGUUAACUAGAUAAUUUAGUUCAAACCACAAAAUAUGAUUUUCUUAUUUCUAAUAUUUAGUUCAAAAUCAACUUAAUCAAAUUGACCUCAAUUUUAUCCAAAUCUGUUAUACUACUGUAGUGUCGUUUCCACGGGAAAAAAUCGAAUUAAAACUUUGCAAUAUCUCUCUUAAUGAUUUUGAGCUCGCUAUCUUUCUCUUUCUGUGAUUUUAAUAAUCAAGUUUAUGAAGAAUUCAGUAAAGAAAGACGUGAAACACAUAAGAUUGAACUACAUUAUUUUGUAAGAGCUAAUAUUAAAUAUAUCAUUGAUUAAAUUAACGUAAAUUUGUAUAUAUUAAAAAAUUUAAUUAUAAUACGGAACCGAAUGGAACCGAACCCGAACGGUUCCGUAAUUAAAUUUGGACCCGACGGUUCCACUUAUUAAAUACCCGAAAAUUUCGGGUCGAUUCGGUUCUUGUCAGAACCGAACUGAACCAGACCAUGUCCAGCCCUAGUUGAAAUAUAUACUCCCCAAUUUUUUGCUCGCCAACUUGGUUUUGGCCAAAUUUGACCUGUCCCUCCUUAAUACUCUAAAAAUUUGACAGACCGCUUUCACACCAUUAAUAGGGCAGAGGCACAAGCUAUAGAUGUUCGCAACCUUCUUUUGACGAGCAAGUUUUCAUUAGCCCAUUUCAAUCCUAGCCGUGCUGUCCACCCUCUUUUUGAACAACUUUGACCAUCAGUGAAUCGCAUAUUGUUUGCAAUUGAUGCCAAUCGUGCUUUCCAUUCACUGGAUCAGCCAAACACUUCUUCCACUUAUCCUAUUUUGGUCACCCUUGUGUCCAUUAGGAAUCCUUCCUCCCCCACUCGUGCUAAACAAUCUAUUCGUCCAUCUACUUUUUCUACCUGCCAAGGCUACUGCAGCUAAGAGUGCCUUAAAUCACAAACGGCCAGCUUUAGCAUCUCCCACUUUGGAGGAUGAUGAUGAUGACGAUGACGCUCCCCUCAUCGUUAGGAGAAAGGUAAUUGAAUUCUAUUUAUUCACAAACAUACCUUUCUAUGUACUAAUGGUUUACUUGAAACCUUUCUAUGUGCUAAUGGUGUACAUGAAUUUCUCAGAAAAGUUCAGCCUCUCCUUUGAAGGCUUUGGUGUUGGCAACUCCUGCUCCAUAAUCCUUUGCUGAAGAUGCUUCGUCCAAAUCAGCUGAUGAAGAGACUAUGCUUAAAGAGAAACCUUCAGUCCCGAAACCCUCAUCACAACCAAUGGAAGAUCCAUCUUCUUCCUAGGGCGCCGACCCCCCAAACAUCGAACCAGAAGGUAAUACAUUUUUUGAUGUUUUACCUUUGCUUGUGCCAUUGGUUUCUGAUUUGUUGCUUCUUGAAUUCUGCAGAGGCUCCCAUGGGUCUGCCCGUUGUGGCAGAGUCUUUUUGCCCAAAUAAGGGGAAGUCUCCAUAGGUGGUGGAGCCAACUGGUGAUAUGCCACUUCCCAAGAUUGCUGAUGAGGUAACUUUUCGCUUCACUUUCAUUUUCGCUUUGUUUAUUGUAGUGAAAGCCCUCAAUGUUGGCAUUUUUCUUUGCAGGGUGCUGAUAACAUUGUGCAUUCCGUCCAGGACUUGUUCACUUCCUGGGGGCAAGUCAAGACGCCUCGCCUUACUUCAAUCGAUCAUCUUUCUGCUUCUUCAGAGGAAGAUAUGAAGUUCCUCAAAUAGUCGAUAUUAGAGUAUGUAUCUUUUAUGGACAUGAACAUCGGUCAGGCUAGUGCUACUAAACAUAAAGAUAAGCUUGAGCUAUUGAGUGUGAAGUUGGCGCAAGCACUGACACUUCCAUCGCUCAAUAUUUCUGCUGAUUUUAAAGCGACGUGGAAGGUUGUCCACUCUGACAUCCUCUCCUUGUUGGCCAAAAAUAUUGAACUGAAGGCCAGGUGUACUCAAUAUCUUCGCGCUGCAUCUGAAAGAGAGUCUUUGCUUCUAGAGAUUAACAAAGCCAAAGACGAGUUGAAAGAAAUCUCUUCCGAAGUUAUGAUCGAAGACUCUCUGAUGACAAGUUUGGCUGCAAAGAUAAAGGAGCUUCAAGUAAGGAUGGACGACUGUAAGGCGAGAAUGGCUGCUAAAAAGCGUAAUGCUUCCUAAGGAAUUGAGCGAACCAAGUCUUUGGUCGAGCAGUACGAAAAGCUGGAGGUUGAUGACAAUUUUGUAGCUGAAUUAAAUGUCGCUUCUUCUCAGCAGAGCGAGGAUUGGGGGAGACUUAGGGAAAGAAUUUGAUCGGCCUAGGGUGAAUUGUAAUUAGACAUCUAAUGCCUUAAAUUUUCCUUUUGUAACUUCAUACUAACUGUCAUUGCUAAAUUUGAAUGUAACAGCAACCAUUGUCAUUAAUGAAUGACUAUUUUGACUACUUGCGUGCUAAUUGACGUUGUCCUUAAUCGUCAACCCCCAAGCAUUUAACUGCUUUAUGAUAAGAUUUAUGUACAUUCUCUUUUGGUAUUUCUGUCUCUUUUCCCAAGACUUUGGGCCACUUGACUCCAAUUACUAGGCACGAAUGUGGCUCUUCAUAUUCCGUCUCUUCACCUUCACGCCCCUAUAAAUGCACGUAUAUUUCGCACUUUUCAUUUUCAUUUCCUUUCUUUUUUUCAAAAACUAAUUUGCUGCCAUCGUUUGACAUUUCAACGAUCGAUCCAAAAUUUUCGUCUUUCAUAGAAAUGGAUCAUUUGAUCCACCUAUUUUACUACCUGUUUUGAUGUCACUUUGGUAUGGGAGAUAUAAGAAAUAUUUUUUGGCCAGCAAAGUUCUUUCCAUUGUCUUCAUGUUCUUUACAAGGAAUUCAAAGAUGGAAGGUAAUUUUUAAGGAUGCCUGUCAAGCCACUUUGCUUGCUGAGAGUGCUUCUCAGUCUCCUUGCCCGUUAUUGUAGCAAUGCGAUUAGACAGACGAUGUGAGGGUGCUUUUCUUCCCUUUUGCUUGUUGAGAGUGCUUCUCGGCCUCUGUGCCUGCCUUUGCAACAGUGCGAUCAGGAUGGCAAUCAAGGCCAGUUCACCCUCUUACUCGGCGAUCAACCGAGAGAUUAGUUUGCUCUCAAUUCUAGCUUAUAGAGCAUUUAGUAUUUUGUAUCUCGCAAUUUGUAAUGAAUGUCUGAUAAUAGAGGAAUUUAUUUGAAAGUAUUUCGUUCUGGCCCUUUUUAUAUAUGAUCGUUCAACGCGAUUUGACUAUGCUUUUAUUUGUUCACUUUCCCAUAAGGAAGGAACAUGUUUUUUUAAAUAUUUUCCAUUAAUGAACCUCAUGUGCUUGGUGCCAUCUAAAUCUUUCAAAUGAUAGACUCCAUUAGACAACACAUUAUUUACUUUAUAUGGCCCUUCCCAAUUGGGCGACAACUUGCCAUAUUUUGGAUCCUUGCUAUCCAAAGGGAGUAUUGUUUUCCAAACCAAUUCGCCCAGGCUAAAUGACUUGGCUAUAACUUUUUUAUUAUGAAACUUAGCCAUCCUUUGUUUUUGAACUUGCAAUCUAUCUAGGACGUCCAACUUUAAUUCGUCCAACUAUAAUAAAUUUUGAACUAGUGAUUCGGUAUACUCAUCAUCACUUUACUUAUAUUGUAAACACACUCUGAUCGAUUGCACGUUAAUUUUCAUAGGCAAAACGGCCUCCUGUCCAUAAGUAAGUUGGAAAUGAGUAAUUUUGGUACUUGACAGAGGCAACGUCCUAUAAGCUCAUAAAGCAUUGUUUAGACAUUCAUGCCAAUUUCUGACAUUUUCAUCUAUCAUUUUCCUUAUGAUAUUUUUUAGAAUCUUACUAGAAGAUUCCGCUUGUCCGUUGGAUUGAGCGUAAUACGGUGUGGAGUUCACUACUUUAACUCCAAACUCGCUCAAGAAUUUAUUCACUUGAUCUCCAUUUAAAGAAGUUCCGUGAUCUACCAUCAAAGUUUGUGGAAUCCCAAAUCUAUAAAUAAUUUGAUCACAGAUAAAUUCUAUGACACUCUUUUAGGUGAUUUCUUUUAAAGGUAUCGCUUCUACCCACUUAGUGAAAAAAUCAGUUGCAACUAUAACAAAGGUAUGUUGCUUAGACGAUGGGGGAUAAAUCUUCUCUAUUAGGUCUAUCGCUCAACCCUUAAACGGCCAAGGUUUGAUAAUAGGUGUCAUCUCUCAUGCUGGCACCCUUUGUAUUGGACCAUGCUUUUGGCAUGCUAGACAACUCUUUACAUAUUGAACACAUGAUUCUCCUAUCUUGAGCCAAAAAUAUCCAUUCCUAAUAAUUAACCAUCUCAUCCUUUGGCCAGCUUGAUGAGCUCCACAUAUCCCUUCGUGUACCUCAGCCAUGAUUGUUCUGGCUUCUUGCAAACUUACACAUUUUAGCAAUAUACCAUCAGAGCGUUUCUUAAACAACUCAUCAUCUAUCAGUAUAUAGUUUAGCAAACGCAACUUCAUUUUUCUAUUAUCUCCUUUAUUUGGUUCUUUAAGGAACAUUUUAAUCUCUGCCCUCCAAUCUAUUGCAUCUCCAUCUUGUAUGCAAUGAAUUUCAAUCCUUCUCGCCCUUCUUUGGACUACGGGCAAUAUUACUCCAUAUUUAUAAGUAGCUUUCCAAUUUAAAACCUUUGAAUACCCUGAGGCCAUCUGAGCCAACUCAUUUGCUACGUCAUUAUAUUUCCUAUUAACACAUUGAAGCUCUACUUGGUCGAAUUCUUCCAACAACUCUUGGGCGAUUUCAUAGUGACUUAUAAUGGAAUCACUUUGGCACUUAAAAUCACCAAUCAAUUGGUAAAUUAUCAAUUCAGAAUCACCUCUAACGAUCACAUUCUUUACUUCCAUGUCUAUCAUUAAUUCUAAUCCUACGAUUAAGGCUUCAUAUUCGGCUUGAUUGUUGGUGCACAUCAUAUCCAAAGUAAAAGCGAACUUGUAACUAAUUCCUAAAGGAUUUAUCAAUGCUACUCCUACUACUGCACCUUUAGAGGUCUUUGACCCAUUUAAAUACAAAACCCAAGGUUUUAAUUCGAAUGAAUUGAUUUCUAAUUCAAUUUCUUCAGACAUGUUAAGUCAUGGACGAUCGAUUAGAAAGUUAGCCAAAGCCUGAUUUUUGAUUGCCUUUUGGGAUAUGUAUUGUAUUUCGAAUUCUGAUAAUGCUAACGUCCAAAGGCCUACCCUUUGGUGUAAAAUAGGGUAAGAAAACAUAUACUUAACCAAAUUUACUCUAGAAAUCAAAUAAACGAUUACGGGCCGUAAAUAAGCCCUUAAUUUCGUACACAUGAAAUACAAUGCAAGAAAUAAUUUUUCAAAGGUAGAGUAAUUACAUUCACAUUUUGUUAACCGUCUACUCAAGUAAUAAAUCGCCAUUUCUUCACCAAAUUGGUCUUCUUGCGUGACCAUUCCAGCUAUUGAUUCUUGUUCAGCCGAUACAUACACUUUCAUUGGCCGUCCUUGGAUUGGUGACACUAACACUGUGGACUUGAUAAAUAUGUCUUUAGGCUUUCAAAAGCCUUUUGAUGCUCUUCUUUUCAGAUGAAUUCGUCUUAAUUUUCAACUUUAAGAGCAGCGAAAAAGGUUUAGUUCACCUUGCACAGUUAGAAAUAAAGCGUUUUAAAAAGUUUACUUGGCCUAGAAACCUUUGCAAUUCUUUUUUAUCGCUAGGUGAUUUGGCCUCUAAAAUGGCCUUCGCUUUAUUUUUAUCAAAUUCAAUCCCCCUUUUGUGUACUAAGAAACCAAGGAAGUUUCAUGCAUUAACACCAAAUGCACAUUUCAAGGGAUUUAAUUUUAAUUUAUAUUGCUUCAUUUGCUCAAAUGAACAUCUCAAUUGUUCAAAAUGGUCAUCUUCUUUAAUGGAUUUGACCACUAUAUCAUCUACAUACACUUCAACAAAGUUGCCUAUCAUAUCAUGAAAAAUCAAGUUCAUCGCCCUUUGAUAAGUUGCUCCUGCAUUUUUCUAGCCGAAAGACAUAACUACCCAUUCAAAACAUCCUAGAGACCCAGGGCAUCUAAACGCAGUUUUGUGUAUAUCUUUCUCAGCUAUAUAAAUUUGAUUGUAUGAAUACCCAUCCAUGAAGGAAUACAUUAUGUGUCCGGCAGUCGAGUCUACUAGAGAAUCUACCGUGGGCAUUGGAGAUUCAUCUUUGGGUGUGGUUAUGUUUAAAUUCCUAAAGUCUAUGCACACCCUUAAUUUACCAUUCUUUUUUAGUACUGGCACGAUAUUGGACAACCAUUCGAAAUAUAUGGCUGUUCUAAUAAAGCCUGCUUUUAAUAAUCGCUCUAUUUCUUUCUUAAUUUUAGGGAGUAUAUUAGGAGCAAAACGUCUAGGAGGUCAUUUAUGAUGUUUAAAUUUUGGUUUGGUUGGUAAUCUAUGUUCCACCAAACCUCUAUCUAAACCAGGCAUAUGUUCAUAUUCCCAAGCAAAGCAAUCCUUAUAUUCUUCUAAUAAAGCGAUUAAUUUAUCACUAACCUCUUGAUCGAGCACCUGGCUCACGAAUAUUGGGCGAUCUUCUUCUUCAUUGCCAAUAUUCACUUUAAUCAGAGGGUCCUAUGCUUGAGCGUAUCCAAGCUUGGCGAUCCUCAUUACUUCAUCGUCCAAUUCCCUUAUAGACACUUCUUCUUCUAAACAAUCCACCUUGUUGACUUCUCGGCCAAUAUUUUGUUCCAACUCCAACACUGCUAAUUUAUCUCUCAAUGCUUCCAAGGCUACUUCUUCUUUCAUCUUGUCCUUACAUCCUUUAUUGAAAGCCAUUAAUUUGACUUUGAAGGCCUGAACAUUGGCCAUUACCUUUGUUGCUUACAAUUCAUCUAAAACUCCUUGAUUACUCUUUUGUCAAUUACUGGCUCUUCUAGGGUCACUAUAUUUGGCCUCAUUUGACUGAACAUUUCAGUGAGUGCAUCUACCAAAAACAGCUCUUCACUCUGUGCAACAAUUUGAGUUUUUUUCUCCAUCUUGGACUACUCUGACAGGUCCAUAAUUUCCUUCGUACAAACAUUUCCACUGAGUUUGCUUCUGCGACAAAAGGCCUAUGAUCAGCCUACACCACUUCUGCUUCACCCUUAUCAUUCCAAAAAACCAGGCAUUGAUGGAGCGAUGAGGGUAUAUAGCGACUUCCGUGUAUCCAAUCUCUUCCUAAUAACACAUUGUAACUAGUAGGACCAUCUAUUACAAAGAAGACUGUAGUCCUAGUAGUUGUCCCUAUAGUUAUGUCCAAUGGCAUAACCCCUUUAACUGAAGUUGCUCCUCCAUUGAAACUUGUAAGGAUGACUUCUGUUGGAAUUAUAUCACUUUCUGUCUUUGCAAAUUUCAUCAUCAUCCUUUAUGGAAUGGUGUUUAUAGCUGCUCCAUUAUCAACAAGUACUUUUGCCACAGGUAUGCCGUUAACUAAAGCUUUAACGUACAAUGGCCUCAAGUGUUUAGUUAACUUCAUAGCUGGUCUCUUAAAAAUAACCUUUUCAAUAGCAUCUAUUUCCACUUCCUGUUUGUCUUCUAUUGAGUUAUCCUUUUGUGAUAAGUCAACGUGCAAUAUGUCGCACUGAGCUUCUGUUUCCUGAAUUUCCUUUUUACAGUUUUCUAAUGCUUCUUCUUCGGUUACCCAACAUGUGGGAGGAGGCAUUAUUUUUGGAGGUGGCCCAUACUUUUCAGAGUGAGGAACUCUCUUUUUCCUUUUAGGCGCCCCGUACAACACGUAAUAAUCGAAAGAAAGCCCAGACGGUUCCCCCAACAAGUCCACUUCACGAACCUCCUCUCGAUGUAGUUGCUUCAACAGAGUAUUGUGCGAUACCCCUCUCUUUCUUCUUUCUGCUUCCAGAUCAAUUUCCUCUUCUAUGUCCAUCAUACCAUCAUCCCCUUCAUCAUCGUAAGCCCCUCUAGAGGUUUGGCCUUCCUCACAUUCCAGCACACGUGCUUCUUGUUCGUUAUCCUCCCUUUCUUCUUCUUCUUUCUCUUUAUUCUUGAACUCAUUGGCUAGUAAGUAAUUAUUAGCCAAGACAGGAGGUAACGUACCGAACUGAAUAGUAAGGGGCUGAUCUGGAUUUUCUCAAUCUCUUAUGUCUCGCUCAAACUUCGAUCUCUCGGAAGAACUCUCUGGCAAUUCUUCCAUCGAUUCGCCUGUACUAGUCUCUUCACUGUCUCCAAGAACAUUUUGAUUGGCCACCUCGAGUAAUUUAGGCGCCUUAGGACGUGGCAUUCCCUAUUGUUGCCUCAUCAUUUGUCCAUAGUUUCAUUGAAAAUGCCUUUGUUAGGUUCUAGUCAUCUCGUUGAAGGGUAUCACCCUUCCUGCGUUAUACUGGAAUGAAUGCCAUACAUUUGAUUGGCGAGGUUGUGGCCUGAAUGUUCUCCCAAUAUUUACUGGCCUGAACUACCUUUCAAAAGGCGGUCCCCUAUAGAAUGAUGUACCUCGCCCUCUACCAGGCUGAGCGUUUGGGAAAAAACUAGGACGAUGGUGAUGCUGCCAUAUCCCUGGUUUCUCUGUAUUUGCACUCACUUCUCUUUUGUAUCUUGCACACAGGACGUCUUCAUCCUUUUUGGGCUCCUUCCCUUUGAUACGUUCAAAGACACUCGGAUGUGGCCCAGGGUCCUCUUCCCCGUCAUCUAUAACCAACUUGAAUUUCGACAACUUAUUUUUGAAACCAGUCGUCACCAUGUUCACACCAAGUGGCUGUGGAAAAGGGUUUUCAUCCACUGCCAUCUUCUUCUUAUCUUCGAACGUAAUUCGUCAUGAUUCAAUGGCGUCCUGUAACACAUGGCGAAAAAUCAAACAGUUGUUAGUCACAUGUGACCAUGCAUUAUGCCACUUACAAUAUUUUUUAUCCUUAACUUGUUCAGGGUUUGACAAUUUAUGUUUAUCGCUCAGCUUUAUCUGUUUAUCCUUAUAUAGUUUAUCAAAUAUAAGGUCAGCUUUGGUUACAUCGAACGAGAACGUUCUAGCCUUUUUGUUUUCAUCUUUUAUAGGUUCAUCCUUACCCGACGGUCUAGGCUUUGCCAUUAUAGGACAAAUAUAAGUAUCUCCUUUAAUUAAUUCGGUCAAACACAUUUCGGCUUGAUCAUAAUAUUCAUCAUUAAUGGUAUGAACAUCAGAGUUCGGGUCUCUAUAAUAAGUCCUCUUGCUAGAGUUUUUCAUUUGCUCUUCUUCUCUUAUUAAUCAUUCAUACCUAAUCACGUUUACGCUCAAUUGAAAAAGAUCAGAAAAUUCCUUGUCUUGAAAUUUCUUUUUCAAAUCAAAGCUUCGACAAUUUUGAGCGAUUUUGACAAACUCCUUUUAGGGCAAAGGUACAAAACAUUUACUUCUUGCUGUCUUGAACCUUUGAAGGAAACCUUCUGCCCAUUCAUUUGGCAUUUGACGCAGACUCGCCAAAUCGGUCAAAGUAACUUCAGACUCAAUCUUAUAAAACUGAGCAUGGAACAAUUACUCCAAUUGUUGCCAUAUUUGAACAGGGUUUGCUGGCAAAUUGAUGAACCGAGAGAAAGCUACUCCUGUUAAUGAACGAGGGAAUAGCCUCAUUUUAUGGUAGUCCGUUACUUCACCACUUUGCAGUGUGAAUCGCCCUAUGUGUUCUAGAGUAGACACCUCUCCUAAUUCGGUAAAUAAUGAGAAUUCUGGCACUUUAUACCCUCUAGGCCAUGGAUAUGUUUGGUCUACCCAAGCAGGAUAUGGCUUUGUGUAAGUCGGCCUAAUGACAGGACGUACUCCAAAAGCCAUCUGAUCAUGUACUAUUUCCAUAAUUUGAUUUCUCAACAUGACAUUGGGGUCAUAUGGAAUUCCUAUAGGUUGGUUGAUUGGUUGAUUUGCUUGAGGCAUGAUGUUUGGUCCUUGGUUGGCAACAUAGUUGCCUUGAUUUGGGUCAUUGUUACCAUUAGCCAGAAUAUUUAUUCCAUCAUUAACACGUGGGGCAUUCUGUCCAUUAUUUAGGACAUUGUCUCUUACAUUUAGGUUACCCCCCAAGUUAGUUGUACCAUUACCACUAUUCUGAUUUGGCAGUACACCAUCCCCUGGUUUGAAGUAGAGGGACGAAAAGGUGGUUCUAUCCCUUGAUUUGGACUUAGGACUGGGGGAUUAUGUCCCACAAUUGUCCUAGAUUGAAAGUGAUUUGCAAGAGGCACAACUGGCUGACAAAUUUGGCCUACUAACUUAUUCAUUAUUUCAUUCAAAGUAUUCAGUUGUUUGGCCAUGUUGUCAUAAUGUGCAUUCCCAUUCUAGGUAAAUCUUUCCAUAUAAUGAAUAUUUCAUAGAUUUACCUGUUCAAGGACAUCCUGUGUGAAUUUUCCAAGUAAUGCACGUAUGGUUCGAGGACUCAACUCUGUCAUUGGUUCGUAACGACUGUGACUGCUCUGACUCUGUCCCUCUGUUCGUGGAGAGCUACACUGUUCCUCAUAUCGCUCGAUCACAAACUGGACUCCUCCCUGACUUGCUGCUUCCUUAUCAGAUUUGUGAGGCAUAUUGUUUCACCUUUUAUAUCUUCAACACCAAACACCAACUGGGCGUGCCAAAUUGUUUCGCGCAAGUAGUCGCUAACAAUUAAAAAAGGGAUCAGACAAUUGUGUAAGGAACAAACCUCUUGAGACAAAGUCCCAAAAAGGGGUGUUUUAUUGGCGAUGGUUUACAAUUGGAACUAAACAGAAUGCCUCCAAGGGGCGCAAGCACACGAGUACUGAAAGAAAUGUUUAAGUUUAAACUAAGAAUUGAAAUUACAUAUUUUCUGUUUGAGAGUGUUUGAUUCGGGGUCUUUCUCUCUAUGUCUUCUCUUCUUUUUAUAUUCUCUUGAUGAUUUCUUCGUAACAAACCGCUUGGAAACUGUUUGACUGCCUUAUAACUAUCCACUUUCUUUAUGGUGGCUAACUUGUCAUGAAACUGCCGUCUCUAACUGCUGGUGCUACUACUCUUUGUCGUUCAACCACCUUCAACUGGGCUCCUUGAAUCGUGAAAUGUAAUAAGGUUACUCAAUAACUGCUUCAAUAACUGCAUUUCUGGAUAACCAUAACAUUUUAUGUUUGCUAAAAAUCCUGGGCGAUUCGAAGGUAUGGGCGAGAACAGGGUCAUCGCUCUAGGCGACUGUAAGGCAUUCUAUUCGCUCGGACCUUGGGCGUCUUGAAAACUUGGGCGAUGAUUUUACUGUGUUCGUGGGCUUUCACUGCAUUCAUUAAUAACCCUGUCUGGGCCUUUAUCCUGAAUUGCCCAAUUGGACUUCACUCUUUGGGCUAUUUGAUUUGGGAAUUCCUCAAUUGGGCUUCAUUCUUUGGGCUAUUCGAUUUGGGCUGCACUUUUAGUGUGUCAACACUUAUUUUAAUUAUUCUUUGAUUUUAUUUGGUAGAAAAACGAGUGAAAUUUGUGUUCAUUAUUUGAUACUAUGUACCAAGCAUGCAUCUACUUUUUUUUUAAACUAAUUUUGUCCCAUAUUACUUUUCCCUCCUCUUUGCUUUGGAAGAUGAAUACUAACAAGUAAAUUUGUUCUUGGGUACAAAGAGCCCUGCUUGAUGACUUUUUAACCGAGACAAUAAAAUUGUUUUCCUUGUAACAAAAGAUAGGAGGGAAAAGUAAAACGGAGUCUCCCAACUUUUUUGCUUGAGACGUUCUUAACUUUUCAAAUUUGUAGCUAGUUGAUUCCCGAGUCAGUGAUCAAAUUUGUUAUAUGCGUGACGAGUCACAAAAUUGGAGUAAUUUUAUUGGGGUUAAAUAUAAACAUAUGAUAACUAUUUCAUGUAUCCAUUCAAUUGAUAUCCUUAAAUUCUCUAUUUUAUUUAAUUGUAAUAAAAUUGUUAAAUAAAAAAAUAAAGGAUUGCGAUCUAAAAAUGAUAUUCACUUUCUAGAUUUUAAGGUAUUUUUUUAAAUGACCAUUGGGGGGCAUAACCUAUUUUAUUUUGUUGUAGUGAAUUUAUAUUCCUAUGCCAGUGGUUUGCACGUAAAUCUUUUGUUUUUGUUCUUAUAUUUUCAUAUUGCCAAUUCUCAUUUAUUUCUAAUAGUAUGCACUGAUGAGUGCUCUAUACCCAUGAUAUUUAUGUCCCUUAAUUUAUUAUUUUAUUAUCCUUAAGAGUGUUUUAUAACGUUUUAGUGUGUGUUUUGCUGUUGUGAUAUAGGUUGAUGAAAUUAAAAGAAAUAAGCAAAAGUUGGCGAAAUUGGAGAAAAUGGCCAAAUUGUAAGAGAUUCAAAAUUUGGGAACUAAAAUACAAAUAAUCAAAAGUUCUGUCAAACCUCUCAAUGAAGAUCCGAGAGAGCUAGGAGUCAAUUGGAAGAAGAAAGACAUUAAAGGGAUCAAAUUUAGUCAAAGUGUGAUCACAUAUCAACUUCCAAUCGAAAAAGUUAUUCUCCGGAUUUUUAGUCUCACAUUAAGACUCAUUUUUUACAUAGCAAACGAUCAAAAUGGAGAAUGAUGUCUGAAGCAAAUUUGUAGCCCUUUGAGUUAUCUUUCCAAUGCAUCUUAAAUUACUCCAAUCGAAUAUCAGAAAAAAAGGUUAUGCUAAAAAUACUGAAUAACGUGUAGUCAGUCUUUUAGCUGAAUUAGGCGCCACGAUGCCUAUGAUUCUGAAAAUAACAGUAAGGGCAGCGCUGCAGCACCCAUAUUGGGCGCGGGAUGCCAGCUAUGCGGGAAUUUUUUUAAUUUUUUAAUUUUUUGGACUCUUUUCUUGAUCCAACUUAACCCUAAUUCGUUCAAGAACUUCAAGAUACUUUAAAUACCAUUCAAAACACCUAUUUUCUCCAACAAUUGAAGGGGGCAAGAUUGAAGACAAUUCAACAAACAAUUCAUUAAGAACAAGGAUGCUAGAAUCAAGGAAUCAAGCUAGGAGGCAUGAAGAACAUCAAGGGAAAUUCCAAUUAAAAGCUUCAAAAGAGUUUUUCUUUCUUUUCCUCUUUAUGUUGUUCAUCAAUAUGUUUAGAUUUAAUUCUUCCAUCAUAAACUAAACAUUUAAUUUAGGGUUUGAUUGUAACCAAAACUUGAGAAUGUGGAUUGAUUAAUUUUGGUUAUUUCUAUUUGAUUUUCCACAUGUGUUUAUUUGUGUAUUGAUUUUAAUGCUUUCAAUUAAUUGGCUAAUAAUUGAAUGAGUAGAUGCUAGUCAAUUUCGGCACUCAAGAGAGCGGAAUUUAAGCGUGAUUAUAAGAUUAACAUAGCACAGAUUUUAUGAGUUUCGAGAGAAAGUAUAUGAUCUAUGAAGCUUACUCGAUAAAAGAACCAGGACUUUGAUAAAUUCUUGAUUUUAAUUCGAAAUAGAGAUAUUGAAAAUAAUUUCUAAGAUUAAUUUCUAGCCGGUACUCGAGAGGGGAUAGAAUUACAUUUCUUGCUUAUACACAUGGAAAAUUGAUUAAAGAUAACUAAGCUUUUGAAAAUCAUAUUUGAGGGCGAGGUGAAAUCACAACCCUAGGCCUUCUCAUCUUGAUUAUUCUUAUAUCUUGCAUUUAUUUGUUGAAUUUAUUACCACAUUCAUCACGUUAAUUCAGUUAAAAUCAUUGAUUUCAAAUUUUCAUUCAUCUAGAUAAAAUAAGAACUACUCAAUUAUAGUACUUAGUAGAAAUUGAAUUACAAUCUUCGUGGGUUCGAGACUCUUAACUUCUUUACUAUAUUACAAAACUUGACAUUGUACACAUACGGUAUAAAUAACGUUGUCAAAAACGUGUAGGAUGCACCUUGAAUUAAUUUUAUUUUUUAUUUUUAGUUCUUUCUCUAUGCUUUAUGAACAAUUAUUUUCACAUUUAUUUAUGCGUGCAUAAUGUAUACCUGUAUGUGCCUCUUUUUUUUGUGUGGUUUAAAUUAGGUUUAUUCUACAUUAAAGAUGAUCAUAUUAGUAAAUGCCAUCCAAUUGUUGUGCCCUUUUUAAUCAUACAUUUUAGUAGUUUCUUAGUAAAACUAAGAUAAUCAGAAGUGUUUUUUGAGUUGGUGCUACACUGUUUAACAAGAAGUACUUUUUGAAUUGGCAUUACGCUGUUUUGCACUUAAAGUAGACAUUCAGAUUCUUUUCUUAUUUUCAUCGUGGAUAAAAUUUUGCACAUAAGCAGGCAUUUUAACCAUAUUUACAUUGAGGAUAAAUUAUCUUCGACGAGUUUCAUAAUCUUUCAUGGAUCAAUUAUUCCUCAGUUUCUCCUCACCUUUUUUGCCGUGCAUUUCAUGUAUUAAUUCAUGUAUACCGCGAGUGGCAUUAGACAUUAAAGUUGGGAACAUCUUGAAAAACUGGAAUUUACAUUGGUUGGAUAUAUUUUUUUUAAUUUUGUGAUGUAAAAUGGAAUAUCUGUUUCUCUGUUUUUAUAUUCCUCUGAUUCCAGGAUGUAGUAAAAAGACUGUAAUGAAGUAGAUAUAGAAUAGUUGAAAUGGAUUGUUUCUUUACUAAAAACUUUGAUUUGCAACCAGUGGUGAAUCCAGGAUCGAAAUCCAGCUAGGGCGGAUUGAUCGUUGACCAUUGUAAUAGUUCGAUCGUUUAUUAAAAUUUGGUUACAUAAUAUCAAAAGUUAUUCAAUAUAUAUGUAAAUGAACUAAAACGUUAAAAUCGUAUAAAUAUGAAAAUAUACUUUGAUACAACCCAUAGUAAAUUGAGUCUGGGACUUCUUUGUGUUAUUCAAUAACUCUUGUGCUCGACUAGAGUCAGUGGCGGGACUAGAUGCACAAUUAGAAGUAGAAAAACUGGGUCUGGACUUUCGUUUUGGUUGAAAAAAUCGUUCCAUAAUCUGCAAAAUGUCAUCCUAAACGUAAAUUCCCAAAUCAAUAAUCAUUCCUAAUAUCCUAUUUCCUCAUCAAAUCAUAAAUUACUUAUCAUAAAUCACAAAUCACAAUUCGCAAAUACAAUUUCAUAAACAGAAAUUCCCAAAUCAAUAAUCAUAACUCAUCAUGAUAAAACGUAAAUUACUUAUCAUAAUUCAUAAAUCACAAUUCGCAAACAUAAAUUUCCAAAUGAAUAAAUCAUAACAUAAUUAAUAUUAAAUUAUUCAAUGCUCAACAAUCAACAUCAACAACUCCAAAAUAGAAAAAAUCAAAACAAAAUAGGCAGACUCACGGUGACAGUAGCCAAUGGCCCAGUAGCAAGGACAAAACAAAAUCGAACAAAAUCAAAAUAGCUAAACAAAAUAGAACAACACCAAAACAAAAUAAUAAUAAUAAUAAUAAUAAUAAUAAUAAAAUAAAGAGGGAAAGAAAGAGUCACCAGUCUGAAUGUCUGAAUUCUGAUGGAGUUCACUAUCCGGUCGACGGUUCGGGCGUUCGACAGUCGGCACUUCGGCGUUCACUAUAGCCAGCGAGCAGUGACGAAUGCUUUGAUGGAGUAUGCUAUUUAUUCGGUUUGCCUCCUGGAGUCUGGAGCUAGGUCGUGUGGUGUGAAUUUGGAGAAACAAGAAGUGAGGUUGAGGAAAAAGGUUUGGCAAUUUGGGGAAAAUUCACAAUUCUUGCUGCCUGGCUGCUCACUGCGUCUGUUGGACGAUUGAAAUGGCCAAAUGGGUAAUGGGUUCAGGCUGAAUACAUAUUAUACAUUGGAUAAAUUCAUUUGACAUUUGGGCUAAAUAAUAAUAGCCCAAAAUUUAAUAUUUACUGAAGCCCAAACCACAAAAAAAAAAAAAAAGAGGGGCCUUCAUCUUCCUUCUUCUUCUCCAGUGACCGAUGCACUGACCACACGGUUCUACAAGACUGCAACUGCUGUGAUCUUUCAUUUCCUUACCAGGCGGCUCUGCAAAUUUCGACGGAGCUAGCACGCACGGCCGCACCCCCUCGUCGGGUGCUAGCUCCGCGCCUGUUUGCACCCUAGAAAAUCAAAAUAGGGACUUCUAAAAACUUAUAGACUCUAGGACUUGUUUCAAGAGAGAUGAGCACUCGCACAAUGGUCAUCUCAUCGGGGUCAUUUACUUCAAUGCCAAAGACAGAGGGUGGUCGGCAUUAGCAAUCUAGUUGUUUGAGUCCCUGGACAAAGGUUUGAAAGACCUUAUUAUGAUUAGCGAAGUCCUUUUCAACUCCGUCAAAUGUUUUCACUCUUUUUCCCCAUCAGUAGCUUUGAGUAAGUACCAAGGGCAAAUUUACUUUCAAUCAAGGGCAAAUUCUGGGCUAAUCCUUUUCCCUUUUGAACCCCUUCAAUUGGCUUAUGAGGAUUGAAAGGUAGAGUUUGAACUAUUUUCACGAAUGAUGAAUACAAGGAUAAAGAAGAAUCUUUCAAAUUUUGAUCACAACGAAUAUGAAUUCAAUUUAGGAUAUAAUUAUCUAAUUUACGGAAUUUUUAAUAAAUUAGAGGUAGCAUCAAAUUUUUUUUAAACCUUUUUAAAGCAAAGUGGAAUCCACUAAAUUUUUUUUUUUUUUAACCUUUUUAAAAUGAACUACAGACAUUAAAAAGACUGGAGUACAAUCAAUCCAACGAGAAGUGCCAAUAACUAAAUGAAUAAAAAAGGCUACAAAGUGGGCGACUCUAUUCUCCUCUUGAAUAAUCAAUAAAUCUCAUCUCAAUGUAUCUAAUGGAAUAGAGUAAAAUUUUUCAGUCACGUCAGGUUGCAACUUUAGUCUAAGCGAUGUUAAUGUGGCAUUUAAUGAUCGAUUGAAAUAAAUGACAUAUUUCAUUUCAUAUUUCAUUUAGCAUCUCAUCUAAUGUCAUCUAGAUUAAGGUUCCAACCCUAGUGGAACUACAUCUAUAGCAUUACUUGAUGGAAUAGCCAAAAUCUGCUCUUAAUCAGAUGAGACAAAAUUUCUCUCAAUAGUUCCAAUAUCCCAUUCCCCCACGUGUAUUCAGAUGAGAUACAUAUUCUACCUAUUCAAGGUAGCAGUGAUUGGCCAAAUAGAAGGUUUCAAUAACCGUGGAUCCUGGAUCACAUCAACUGCCGUCCCAUCCCUAUUUCUCCAGUGAAAACCUGGAACAAUUCACAUCCCCAUAUAAUACUCUUCGACGAGAAAUAAUCUUCUAUUGUGACUGAUGCCUCUAAAAAGUUGACCGGUCUUUUCAUCUUUUCAGUACCACCUUACUUUCGAUAACUUUUCCUCCGAAAAGGUUACGUUUUACUAAGAAAUAUCUUCUUGUCCUCAUGAAUAUAAUAUCCCCUAGUGUCUCUCCUAGACCCUAUGAACAAGCAUACAUAUGAAUCAUCUGAUCUUGUUUCCAAGCACACGUGCAAGACCAGACAACCCCAAAUGUAGAGAUGACCAAUGCUCGUAACGUCCAUUCUAGAUUUCGAGAGAAGUCCUAGGAAAAGACUUUGAUGGAACUAAGUUCUCAACAUAUGCUGUAGUCUCAAGGGCAUAUCUCUAAAAUGAUGAAAAACUCGUCAUCGAUUUAACCAUGUUUGAUAAAGUUCUGUUUCUCGUCUCUCAAAUACCAUUUUGUUGGGUAUUCAUUUGCGCCUCAGUUGGAUACAAUCAGAGUCUGAUAGGUAUUCCUAAAUUCAUUUACGAGGUAUUCAUGACCUUUAGUUUGAUCGAAAUGUCUUGAUAUUUUUUCCUAAAUAUAUCUCAACCUCUAUAAGACACUCUUUGAACUUUUCAAAUUUUUGAACUUUUAUACUUCAGUUAUAUGUACUUGUAUGUCGAGUAAUCAUCCGUAAAUAUGACAAAGUACUUGCGAUCACCUAUCGAAGGUGCACUCGUAGGACCACGUAUAUAAGAACCGAUUAGUUCCAAAACAUCCUUGGCACUAUAUUCUUUAGCUGAAAAGGAUCUCUUGAAGGCAAGAUUCACAGAUUACAUACGCUUCCACCUUUAAACCAUUUAGAGCCCUUCUUUUUCAACUUUUUAUAAUCUUAUAAAAGCUUAUACGUCCAAGUCUUAAGUGUCACAAAAAUAUUUCAUUGAUCGAAUAUAAUAUUAUGUUAUUGUUCCAGUAGCAUUAUAAAUUGAACUGGAAGUUGAGUAUAACAUAUGGAGAUAGAUAUCAAGCCAAACUCGAGUAUUUUACUCAUAAUCAGUAAAAGAAUAAAAUUGUCCAAAACAAGAAAUAAACUAAUUUCUACUACAUAUGUGGGAUAACAUAACAAUCUCUAAAAAAGAAACUCCUACCACUACUAAAAAGAAAAUAAAAAACUACUAUAUAUGAGUCACAUACUCCAACAAAAUGGAGUAUUGAACUUGUUUCUCAACAUACGAAGUGGCCCACGUGGAGGCCUCAUAUUCAUACACGUGGCAAACAUAUAGAAGGGAUCAACAUUCGAAGCUAUCGCAUUGAGCGACAAGGUUAUUUCACUCAGAAUAGCCGACGUGGUCCUGCCCUUCCUUCCAAGGUGGUUUGCCUUUUGCUGCCGAACUCCUGGAGUAUCCGAGGCCCCGACAGGUUCAACUUUGACGUCUCAGAGAAGUCAGUCUAGACUUGUAGGAUAACUGACCUCUUGUCAAAUGUCUGUCGAUGUAAUUAAUGUGAAAUAGAGUUGACGUGACAUCAAGAGUCUCAGAUCAGGCCACGUGGUUCAAAUUUAACGAUGACCACCUCGACUUGAUCACUAUAAAUAGACAAUUUUUGUAUCAUUGAAGAGGAUGGAUCUUUGAACAAAGAAAAGGGGAAAAAGAGUAUAAUAUAUACAAAGUUGUCUACUAUUUAUCUUCUUAUUCUUCUACAAAUACAUGUAUUUAUAAUCGAGAUAUACGACCACGUGUAUACAAUCUCUUAAUGACAUUUGUUGGCCAUUUUCAGAGGUCAACGAACUAACUAUUAUUGCAUCUAAAAAACAAAUUGAUAGUAAAGUACAAUGUUUUUUUAGGAUGGCAACUAUAACCUUUUUGAAAAUCAUUUUUCAUAACAUUCAUUUUCAACAACAUUUUAAAAAAAAAUUAUUUUUCACAUUUUCUCAUAACUUUUUUAUUUAAUUUUUAACUUUACAUUCUCACACUGUCAUAAUUUGGUUGCUAAAUUCAAAAAGAUAGACUCUCAGAAGCUCCAAAAUAAAUAUUGCAGUCAGUAAAAUUGUACAUUUUAUUCAUAAAAUUGUUUGUUCGAGUGAUCGUGCUAGCUAGCUGAACGCGAGGCCACCGUUCGAGCAAUGGUUUUAUCCGGGGUGAAAUCUGUUUGCUAUUUUGGUAGUUUUUACACUUGUUCUAUUCCAAGCACUCCAUUAUUUGUUAGAUCUAUUAUAUUAGGACUCCUCCAUCAUUUCUUAGGAUCUUCUUAGAAGUUACUUUUUUCGAAAGUUGAUUAAGACUUACUUUCCAAAAAAAAAAAAAAGUUACGAUAGUAAAAAAAAUUAAUUUCAAAAAUAUGUUUAGUGAAAGACAAUGUUAAAAGUAACUUUUACUUCUUUUUAAUCAUGCAUUUUAGUAGUUUCUUAGUAAAACUAAGAUAAUCAGAAGUGCUUUUUGAGCUGGUGCUACACUAUUUAGCAAGAAGUACUUUUUGAAUUGGCGCUACAUUGUUUUGCACUUAAGUAGACAUUCAGAUUCUUAUCUUAUUUACAUCGUGGAUAAAAUUUUGCACAUAGGCAAGCAUUUUAACCAUAUUUACAUUGAGGAUAAAUUAUCUUUAGCGAGUUACACACUCUUUCAUGGAUCAAUUAUUCCUCAGUUUUUCUCCAAGCCUUUUUUGCCGAGCAUUUCGUGUAAAAAUUCAUGUAUAAUGUGAGUGGCAUUAGACAUUAGAGUUGGGAACAUCAUGAAAAACUAGAAUUUACAUUAGUUGGAUUUUUUUUAUUUUGUGAUGUAAAAUGGAAUACGUGUUUCUCUGUUUUUAUAUUCAUCUGAUUUUAGAAUGUAGUAAAAAAACUGAAAUGAAACAGAUAUCGAAUAGCUGAAAUGGCUUGUUUCUUUACUGAAAACUUCGAUUCACACCCUCGAACGUCAAAUUAGGGGUAUCCAAACACACAUAGACUUCAGGACUUGUUUCAGAGAGAUGAGCACUCGCACGAUGGUCAUCUUAUAGGAGAGAUUUACUUCAAUGCCAAAGACAGAGGGUUGUUGGCAUCAGCAAUCUUGUUGUUUGAGUCCCUGGACAAAGGCUCGAAAGACCUUAUUAUGAUUAGCGAAAUCCUUUUCAACUCCGUCAAAUGUUUUCACUCCUUUCCCCCAUCAGUAGCUUUGAGUAAGCACCAAGGGCAAAUUUACUUUCAAUUAGUGUGACCUCGAGUCCAUAAUCUUCAAAACUGAGGUUCUAGGUCUUUUUGUGAUGGAAACAGUCAAUGUAAAUGUUACAUUGCACACCGUAACCAUCAAACUACUUAAAAUUUUAAUGUCUACAUUGACGAUUUCCGCCAUAUAGGGUCGAUUCACAGAUUUAAAUAAGCUGAGGUACUGUAACCUCAAUUUUGCAGGUUAGGACCCAAAAUUAUGCUACCUUUAAAGUUGGGGAGUUCAAUCCUACAUUCUCUAUAGAUUUUAAUUUAUUUCUUGACAUUUUUAGUGGUUGAGAGAACAUAUACACCUAGGACGUGCUCCAGAUCAUGACUGUUUCUUUAGUACCAAACAUGCUACAAAGGUAAUCGAACAACAGAGAAUUUCCAGAGGUGCCAAAGAAAAAUACAAUUACAGGGGAAUCUCAGGUCAACUUGCACUCAAGGAACCAAUACAUAAACAUGCAAGCACCAUUUUGUUUGUACAAGAAACGGAAUUUCAGUGGAAUGAUCCAAAUGUAUCAUCAGAUUUUAUUGCAGAAUUUUUCAGUAGUGUUAUAACCUUUGGAUCAAGGCCUCGGUAAAGAUUGCCUUCUCUGAGUCUCUCAAAGUAGGAAAUCUUCAAUCCAUUAUUUCUUGCAAUAGGAGAGCGAAUCCAACCUGAAUUCCUCUUUGGUGUACCAGUCAUUAUGACAGCUGUUCUGUCAUUUGCAAAGUUCGCCAGAGGCACCAUAGCCUCAGGUUCUGUGGCCGAUGAGGCGUCUACCAGAAAAAUAUGACUAAAAUGUCCAGUCUUCAGUCCUUCAGCAUACAGUCGAAAGCUACUGAUGAAAGUGGAAAGGAUUACCUGGAAAUUUUCAAGUUCAUCAAGACGAGGACACGAAAA